rnacentral:lncRNA from 1 species
GCUAUAGCCAUAGAAAAAAUGAAAAGGGUUUAGUCACCUAAAGGCAAAGCAUGAAGGAGAACAAGAAUCAUAGUUGAGCUCAUAAGAUUGAGUUUUUCAAGCUUACUGGUUAGGUUGAGUCGGCCAUCUAGUGCCCAGCUUAGCUCCAAGGUGUUUAUUGUUGAUGCAUAGGUAGUGGCAUAAUUUGAAGUAUAGUAAUUAAUUCCUAAGAAAUCCAAUGAUCCCUUAAGCAUUUCGGAUUCUGCUGGCGAGAAUUUGGGCAGUCGAUGCCCCACAAGAGAUUGCAUGGUCAUUGGGUACUCGCCAUAUGUGAUUGGAUGUAAAAACCUAAAAAAAAAAAUUAAAAAUUAAAAAAUUCAUAUAAAGGUUAAUCAAUGAGAAAAUAUUCCAAACUAAAUAUUUAGAAUGAAAAAUGAUAUUUGAUAAAUUAACUUCAUGACUUAAUAUGAAUUAGUGACUUAAAGACUUAAAAUUAAGUAAUUAAUUAAAUUAAGCAUGUUUUAAGAAAUAAUCUAAUAUCAUAACUUGAAGUUAAAAAUAAUUUUAAGUAUUAAGUCAAAAUAUUUAAUUUAUUCUAAAUUUUAUAUAUAUAUAUAUAUAUAUAUAUAUAUAUAUAUAUAUAUAUAUAUAUAUAUAUAUAUAUAUAUAUAUAUUAUUUCAUUUACCAUGUUUAAUAAAAAGUAUAUUUUACAAUUGACUUUACAUUCACAACAAUCUUUGCGUAAAUAUGUUUUUAUAGUUAUUUCAAACAUGUGUAACACAUUAAAUAUAAAUAUUUAACCAAUAAAUUAAUAUUUUAAAAUCAAUGAAAACAUAUAAAUAUUAAUCAAUUAGUGAAGGUAAAAAUGUCAAUUUAAUAAUUUAGAAUAAAUUUUAAAUUAAUAAUUUAAGAAUAAUAUUAAUUUAAUUUAAACUUGAGUAAUUAAAUAAUAAGAAUUAAGUUUUACCAAACAUCCAUCAAGUCCUAAAUCAAAAUGGUGGCUUAACAAGACUCACCAUCCUAACAUGAAAUCGAGGGCUCUAUGGGAGGCCUUGACACCCGCAACGGUUGCAUUCUUUGAUUGUAACCAAUGUGUUACUAGGGUUACUCCGAUAAUUCCCUUUUGAGAUUUCUGCAAACAUUCAAAUAUAAUAAUCCAAAACUAUCAAUAUUGUCUGUCUUGAAAAUGAUCUUUAGUUAAUCAAAAUGAAAUGCAUGUAACAAGUCAUAAGCAAAAACCUGAUACUUCUCCUUGUACAAUUUCACUCCAGCAGCAUGAGAAAGAAGUAGGUGGUGUGCCACUUUAUAGGGUUCAGUUGCAGAGUUCCCAGAGGCACAAGUGCCUGAAUAGUUUGAACAUCGGCCCGGUGCAAAAGUCCCAGUUGAGUAGCCAUAGUAGCUAUAGGAGAAUGGCUCAUUCAAAGUGAUCCAAUGCUUCACUCGAUCCCCAAAUUGUUUAAAGCAAAAAUCAACAUAGUUGCGAUAAUCGUCCCUAUAUCAAACCGAAGCUUUUCCUUUAAUUAAAUAGGAUCAUUUUAUGAAAAAUGUAUAGAUGAAGGUAUGAUCAUAUGUUCCAACUUACACUAUUUUAGGGCUUAAGAAUCCACCAUACUCAUCUUCAAGGGCUUGCGGAAGAUCCCAAUGGAAUAGAGUCACAAAGGGCUUCAAUCCUACGUAUGAUAGCAAGAUAUAUAUGAGCAUGCACUAUAAGUUCUUCAAACUAUUUCUCCGAAAUUAUUUUGGAAAACAUAGAAUGUUUCAAGGGAGAUUGGUAAUGACCAUUCGCUAAGAGCUCAUUGAUGACGUUGUUGUAAAAUUGGACACCCUCCUUGCUCACUCCCCCGCUAACUCUUCCAGCUGAAAACAAAAUUCCAUAUAUGUUAACCUAGCUAAUGGAUCAAUUAAUGUCGAUCAUUCAAUCAAAUAUAUAUACAUCAUAUGGGCAUGACCCAAUUUCUUACUUGGUAGUACUCUAGUCCAGGAGAUGGAGAAUCUAAGGGCAUCCAUACCCAAGAACUUCAGCAGUUGAAUGUCCUCCUGUAACAUUAAUUCUAAAGUUAUUUUUCAGAAGUGAAGAUAACUUCCUGUAAAUCCAAGGAUUUGGUCACCGUAAGGAUGAUUGCUAUUCCAAGGCUCCAAAGACAAGUGACAAAAUAUCAUUUACAUUAGGGUUUACCUUAUAUUUAUGAUAAAAAUCAAUGGCUACAUCUCCUGUUGACUGGUCCGAGAUCUUUUCUGUCACAGCACCAAACCUCUUUUCAGAAAUUAAUACUAUGGAGAUUUGUAUGGAAAUAAAAAAAAUAGGCAUAGCUCAAGAACACAAGUCAUUGAUCCUUGAGGUUUAUUGAAUUUGAGACUUUUUUUUUUCUUUGAUUUAAACAAGUAAAAAAAUAAAAAUAAAAUAAACAAGCAAAAAAGGACAAAACUGUAUUUUAUGUCAAUUUUAUUUAUCUUUUUUAAGUUUUUAAUUAAAUACAUCAAAUCUUUAUAGGUUGGAAAUUUUAUUAAAUACCUCUUUUAUUUUAUUUAUUUUUUACUUUCAUUUAUUUAUUUUCAUUCAAAAUAAAAAGAUGUAGGAUGAAAUUUCAAAUUUAGAGAUAUUAGAUAUAUUUAACCAAAACAUAAGAAAAGGUGAAUGACCUUGUAUUUCAGUACCAUCCACCCAUGAUAUAUAUUAUGUAUUUCAGUACCAUCCACCCAUGAUAUAUAUUAUGUGAGAUGCAGAACUUUUGAGGUGUUAAAACUUAAAUGUAAGAUUGAAAAUAAAAUUGUACCAUUCCAAAUCGAAAGCUACACCACACAAGUCAUGUCAGCACCGACCAGUGGUGGUUCUUUUUGGCUGACCCACUGGAAACUAACCUCAAGUUGUACCACACCUGGAAACUUUUGGACCAUGGUAUAUAAAAUUAUCACAGAGAAAUUGAGAAACAUUUAAUGGUCUGUUGCAGUGGUCCUUAUGAUGGGGUCACCCCUGUCAUUAUUCAAGAUUGGCUGCUUCUUUUUUCCUUUUGUUUUUACUAAGCAGUCACUUUCCCAUAUAAAUUGUUUUGGAAUGAAAUGUUAAAUAUGAUCUCUACCAGGUUAUAGAAUUCAAUUGAUGAGAAAAUCUAGAUAGAAUUUGGUGUAUGAUUAGAAUCAUUCAACCCAUGAAUUCAACAAAAUCUUGAGUAUUGCAAUUAAAUUAAAAAAAGGGGGUGUCUUAAGUCAUAUAUGUUAAUUUUCAAAAAUCUAAAUUAUAUAUUCAUAUUUUUUAUGCUUCAUAUUUUUUUUAUGGAAUAACAGGUUUGUCUUAGGAAUGAUAAUGGGAUGAAUUUUUGGAGUACCUACCCCACUUUGUCUCUAAUGAGGUAGGUUUAAAAUUUUAAAUAAACUAUUUAGGGGUGGGUUUGAAAUUUUUAAGAAAAAACUUGGGAUAGGUUCGAGUAUUACCUUAAUUAUCCCAUUCCAUCUCGCCCCAAUUAUUUAUAAAAUUAAUUUUAUUUUUUCAUUUUUAAUUUAAUAAUGAUAAUAAUAAUAAUUAUAAAAUAAGUUAUAAAAAUUUAUAAUAUUUUAAUUAUUUAUAAAAUACAUUUAUUUUAAUAUAAUUAAAAACUUUUAAAUAAUUUUUUUAUAAAGAAAUUAAAAAUUUUUGAAAAAAUAAAUAAAUAAACCCGCAGGUGGGACAUACUCACCCCAAACCAACCAUAUUGUCAUCCCUAGUUUCCCUUAAUCUUAUUACCAAAAUCCAACAAUAAAAUCGAGUUCAAGCUUUGAUUUUUCCUUGUACAGAUCCUAGAUUUUGCAGUGGUGAGGCACAGAAUGAGAAUCCAGUAGGUCCCUCAGCCAUGUCCAGUGUACAAUUUCCAUGGUCCUCAUAAUUUGAUCAUGUCAUGUUCAGGAUCGAAUUAUAACAUAUGUAACUUCUAGACAUUGUUUCACUUUACAGCAAAUGGACACUGUCCAGACAACAGUGUGAAACCUUUAAAGUUCGUCAAUUAUUGAAACUUAGUAAUGUGAUUUAUAAAGUUUACCCUCUACAUUGUAAGCUUAAUAAUGGAACUUUUAACUAAUAUUUCAAACAUUUGAAGCAAAAUCAAUGAGAAAUUGUAAAUGAAACCAUGGAAUCAAAGUCAUCUUCUAAUAAUAAGUGAUGGUAUGUUUUUGAGAUUUGAAUCCCUUUAACACAUGCAUUUUCUGGGACAACAUUUAAAUAUACCAAACAAUCAUGUGCCUGCAUUGAUUUAUGUUCAGCAGGCUGAUGUUUAGUUUAGUAGUUGUGUUACAUCUUUCAGGCAAAACCAUUGAAUUAUUCUUAGACAACUUGUCCAAAAUUCCAAGAAAAUGCACGUGCCAAGAGACUUGUUAUGCACAUUAUAACCUGAAUAGAUAGGAAAAAUAAUUUUCUAGCUGUUAAAUAACUAGAUUUUUUUUUUUUUUUUUUGUGACCUAUCCUUGAACCAUUAUGAAUCGCUAAAAUUAUCAUUUAUCAUUAUGGUUGUACGUUCUUUGCCAAGAUUAGGCCAAACUGAUGAUGAACCAGGGUUCAGAGAGAAGAGAGGACCUGGAUAUUUUGCAGUGAAGGUGUCCCAGAUACUCUUGCCUCUAAGAUGUGCUGCUCCUUCAUACUGAGAUAAUAGUAUACAAGUUAAUGCAUAUAUUGAGAAAACCUUGUAGCCCUAAGUCAAUGGAAAAUGUUGGGGUUGUACCUGGUAGGCUGAUGAGGCUGCUCCAAAAGUAAAACCGGGUGGAAAGCUAUGUCUGCUGAACAUAGCCGAGGGCUUUACACCAUGGCAAUGGGCAAAGGAGAGGACUAGGACAAGGGCACAGAAGAGAAGGGGACCUUGAGUGGCCAUUGCGGAGUUUGCUACACACAAAUUUGCUUUUGGAACUCUCUAUAUAUAGAGAAAGCUAGAAGCAAAGGAUAAGAUAUCUUCAUGGAUAUCGAUAUGAGACCUAGUACAAUCAUCGUAUACACACGUAAGUAUUAAUUUGAAUAGGUCAUUAAUUAGCAUAUAAGUAUAUGAUAUCACAUAAUCCCUUGGAUCUACUUAAAGCCGACAUGGAAUAGUACUACCGGAGAUUUUUAUCCUUAUCUCAUUCUUUAAUCUUUAUUUACCCAAGUUGUAAAGUAGAUGGCUCGACCAGUCUUCUUGGUUUAUUAGCAAUAAGGUACCUUGAGUUUUCAUUCAAGCUAAGAUGAUUCUGUCCAGUUGCUCAGCAUGAAUUAAUACAAUAAUUUAUUAGACAUGUUGUAGCUACUGCCAAUAACUUCAAUCAUACAUAUAAGAAAUCCAUGAGUUUCUUUUCAUAGCAGGAUAUAUAAACAGCCAUGGUUGAAUAAGUUCAAGUCCUUCCUUUAACCUCUCUAUAUAAUAGGGUUUCGGAUAAUUAGCAAGUAACCCAUGAACAAUUCUGGAUAUAUGUGUUAAUUUUAGACCUUGCAAGACAUUUUCUAAAAGAUUGCUGCUAGCUAUUCUCCAAAUUCCUAAUAGAUUAAAGGGAUUAAAAUAUGACAAUUGUGAAAAGAAUCGGUGGUCAUUAAUUUAUAUAUUAAUCGAAGAUAUCCUUAUGAAAAUUUGUAGAAAUAUAUAUUACGGUCCAAGUAUGAAUUAAAUACAAUCAUUUAUUGUAGAAAUACUACUUAGAUACAAUCAUUUAUUGUAGAAAUACUUCACAACUAACAUUCUUCAUGAUUAGUAGAUAUAUAUAUGUGCAUAAUUGUUAUUCAUAACCAAUGGUCUAUUUCCCAUCUUACCAACUAGUCAUUAACUGCAACCAUCAUCACAAUGCAAGCUAGUUUGAAGAUAAUGCAAAUGUCUUGAAGAUAGUGUAAAGAAAAGCAAAAACCUAUACAACAAAAUCUUUAUUGUUCAAAAAAAUUUCUUCAAAUUGUUUAUUCGAUAGAUUGAAUCACAUGCCAUGUAACUCUUAUGCAAAAUUUAUUGAAUCUUGUUGAAAACGAUUCGGAGCAUUUGACAAACACAACAUUGGCUAAAUCUCUUUUAGGAAAAAAAAGAAAAAAAAAAGUUGAAAGAAAGAAAAAAGAAAAGUUGAAAGACAAAAGGAGAAUCUCUUGUUAAGAUGAUGGCUUGAAUAAAACCUUUGCAUAUAUAGUAUAUACAUUUUAGAUAUUGAGCACAAAAAUCUAGAAGAAGAUAUCUUUUCUUACUCAUAAGAGUUAUCUAUUAACUAAAUCAUGCACAAAAAAAAUAAAAAAUAAAGAAAAAUACAAGAUUUUUAAUGUGGUUCAGUGAUCAAUGUGGCAUCUAUGUCCACAAAGUGUAUUGACAUUCAACAAUCUACUAAUCAAAGGAAAAAUGAGUAUAAUGGUCAAGCUCUUGAUAAAAAAUUCUCAAUUAUAACCAUACUAGCUGUCACACCCCCAAAUUUCACCUUAAGUUUUUCACUAGGUGUGUGGUGCUAAGGACCCUUCCUUAGCCAACCUUUCUUCCCAGCUUUCUUAAAACACAAAGCAAAAGCAAAGUGAACAGGGACACAAACAAGGUUACGGGAAUCCUUCCCAACUUGUAUUAAACUCAACUACAAGAUACAAAAUUGUUUCCCCUGAGUUAGAGAACAAUGCUUACAUCCCUAAGCAUUCAGAGAACUCUAUUCCUUACUCUUCUCUCCGCCUUCUCAAGGAUGUAGGAGCCCUUUUAAAAGACCUAGCCUGUAGUUUUCAUCUUAUGGUUAUGCAACUGGCUACAACCGCCAGGAACCGCUUGCAUAACCACCCACCACCCGGAUGGUGGUCUGCUCAGGAAGCACCCACUUGCACCAAGCAUUAGCACCUCAACCAACUACCAACCCAUGUAGCUGAUUGAUGACUGAGUCACUUGCUGUCCCAGCUCUGGCUAGCUGCCAUCUCUUCAAACCCUUCUCAUCAAGCUGCUGGAGAGUCUUCCCCUAACAAGCUGCCUCCUUCCCCAUAAGGUGCCACUUAUGAUCGGGUGCCCACCAACGUGUCUUUGAUCAAGGCUUUCUGAACUAUGCAGCAUGCACCAACCAGCCGACCAAACCUGGUACAUCAGUGUGCCUUCCCCCACACUGAUGUGUGAGCCCAAGCCAUGUCAAGGUGCCCAUGGCUUGGGCAUGUUGCUAGCUCCUACUCGUCAAGUCCAGCUUCAUAACGACGAGCCAUGGCAUUGUGCCCAUGGUUGUUCCCUCUUAGUGCAUAGGGCAUUAUGCCCCUGUGUUGUGAGUAGGUGUCAUGGUGAGUCAACUGCUUGUCUAGUGCCCCAUCAGGCCAUGGCAUUGCGCUCAUGGUCUUCUCAGUUGGCUCUCUUGCACAAGGCUUAGGCACCCUCGUGCCUACACGGGGAUGAGGUAGGCCGCACUAGGCCCCGUGUCGUUGCCGCCACGGGGUGCACGUCACACAUGUCAUGGAGCCCAUGUGUACGUGCUCAAGCGUCAUCUGUGUGUCCCAGGCACGCCUAAGGCCAUGCCAUGGUGCCGCCUUGGUGUGGUCAAGGUUUUCCCUUGGUGCUCCCCUCCUUGAGUCACCUACCCCCCCUUAAAGAGCAAUACAUGCCGUUUUCAUAGUUUCUGGAGGAGACAUCAAUAUGCUUGAGGAGACAUAAUGGAAUAUUUAAAUAAAUAUAAAUUAAAUUUCCAAAAUGCCCCUUAGCUUCCAUCUGCACCAACUUCAUAGCCCAUAUAGCUUGGUGCGAGCGUGGUGCCUGUUUGGCUCGCCUGUGGUGUGCGCGCGAUGCGCGUUUGGCUCACCCGCGGUGCCCAUCUGGCCCGCCCACGGUCUCUUCACUUAGCUCCUAGGGUUUGGACCACCAAACCUCCAGGCUUUCCUUACUUUCCGCCUAGGCUCUCAUGUGUGGAAGGCCUACCCAUGAGGCCUAUUUUUCCAAAUCUAAGUCAAGUGGCUAAGAGGCUGACACUAGCUCACUAACAACCAAAACCCUAAAACAUAAAAAUGUUAAAUAUAUAAUAAGGGGACAACCUAUUAAUCAUCACAUAAAAAAAAAAAAUUCUCCAAGGGCACUGCCCCUUCAUUCCUACGAGUUGAUUGGGCAGCUCUUGAACGAAGUUCUAUAAAGUUGAGACAACCUUCAUGAUAAACAUUUUCUGUAUCAUGUUGAAUCCAAAUAACAAUAAAAAUUUAACAAAAAAGUUCACAAGGGCAUAGUGAGGAGUUAUGCCUUGAGGGGGAACUUCUUGAAGCAAUAGAUAGAGUAUUUGAGAUCUCUUCUUAGCCCAUAUUUUAAGUUUGCGUAAGCGAUGCCAAAUCAAAGUUUUUCCAAAUUGAUCAAUUGCCUUCAAUAAAUAUAUAUAGACUUGGUUUUCUGGACUAGAUCCACUCACAUAUUUAUUAUGGUGUCUAUUCAUAUAUGCUAUGGACAAGUUUGCCUUAGUGCUCAUUAGCAAAGAGAUGGAGUACAUACUGCUUGACCCAUGAACACUCCAUUUUUCUCUAGUAUAGAAUCGAAGUUAUUUGUGAUGUGAGCAGAAACACUAUGAUUAAUUAAGCUCAUGAGGGUUACAAUUUCUUGAGCUUACCAAUAAGCUUAAAGCAACUAUCAAUAUUGUAAUUUAGGUUGGCACCAUCUAAGUAUGCUAAGUUAUCUGCUAAAUUACUUAAUUUAGCAUAGGCUUUUCCAACUUGACAUUGGGUUCAAAAUUAUAUUCAAUAGUGCUAAAUUACUAAUUAACCUAAAUACUUUAGAUAAUAAGUAUAUCACAUGAGGUCAUUUGACAAAAUUGUUAAAGAACUUUAAGCCAUGAGGUUUCACUAUACUAAUUAAAUUUCCCUCAUCAAAACCAAAAUAUUGUUAUAUCAAAUUAUAUCACAAAUAGUCAUUGUGAUGAAAAAAAAUGUUUAAUCAAUUAAUUGGUUUAGGCAAACAAGGAUGGUCUUACUAGGUAAUAAUUUGUAUGUACCAUUUUAAUUAAUUAAUAUAAUAAUUUUUUAUUUCCCGCUCCAUGGGAAGUAAUAUAAAUAUUUUAACAUAAUACUUCCACAAAUUCAUAGAAUUUUCUUUGUAUAAGUUUGUUAAGAGUAGAAAAUUGUUUUUAAAAUCAGUGCUUAACAGACUCCGAACUUUUUAUAAUAUUAAGAGUUUGUUUGACAGUGAUUUCAGAAGCAUUUUUAUCCUAAAAAGUGCUUUUGAAAAAAAAAUUUAAGUGUUUUGACAAAAUUUACAAAACAUUUUUAAAAUUUUAAAAAAUCGCUUAUAGUUUUUAAAAUUUACUUGUAAUUUUUUAUUUUUUUAGAAACACGGUGAUUCUCCUAAAAACACUUUUAAAGAAAACACUUUCAUUAAGAACACUUUAAGUAAAAAUACUUUCAAUGCAUUGUAAGAGUAUAUUUGACAGUAUUUCUACUUAAUGUGAUUUUAAUAAGAAUACCAUUUUCUAUGAAAGUGUCUUUAGAAGAAUCAUUAAUAAAGUAUUUGUCCAAAAAACAUUUAAAGUGAUUUUUCAAAAUUUUAAAAAUAUUUCUUAAAAUUUGUCAAACACUUAAUUUUUUUUUUUUUUUGGAUAACUAAUUAAAAGGGAUGAAAAAUUGAAAUUACAAAUCUAACCUUUAACUUUUUUUAACCCAAAAAAUAUCCAUUUUGGAUAAAAACACCAUCACUUUUUCUUAUAAAAAUAAUAUUUUCUUUUAAAACACACAUGAAAAUAUUGAAAGAUAUUUAUAUCAAAAACUUAUUACUCUUCAAAUUCAAAAAUAGAAGAGUCUAGUUUUACAAAUUUGGGAUCUUUCAUCCUUUUAAUCAAUUAAUCAAUUUUUUUUAAAAACAUUUUUAAAUUAAAAGCCCUUUUUAAAUCACUACCAAAUAGACUUUAAUCCGUUUAGCCUGUUGUUGGAGAUAAAUAGCUUAGUAAAUGAAAAUUUUACUGAUCAACUCCUAGAAUUUAUCUUUCUCUAUUGAUGCUUUGCCUUGGACAAUUUAUCACUAUAAACUACAAAUUCUCAUUAUUUGUAAAUAAAGAAUAAAGACCUUCUAGUAAAUAUGGUGUGGAUUUUUUUUUCCUUUUUAACCAUAUACAACUCUACAUGCAAGCUGUCUUUGAGCCACCCCAUCAAAUCAAUUUCUUCAUUCUGAGCCAGAGUUGGUACAUGCUACUACCAAAAUAUUAAUUUAUGACGCUCGAUUUCUAAAAAGCGCCAUGGAAUAAGGUAAUAAGAUGGUUUUUUUAUAAAAUUAGUUUAACCUUACGCUUCUCAACGAUGGCGCCAUCCAAAACGCCAUCGUAGGCAUUGCACAGCAUCCUUGGUGCUUUCUAAAGUGUCAUCGUAUGCAAAGAUCAGCCUUGGCACUUUUUUUGAGUGUCAUUGAAUGUAAUUAUAUAUAAAUUUCAUCUUUUUCCCCAAUCUUGCCCACACAUGCACCCCGACAAACCCAAUAUCAUAGGACCCCUAAACCUAACCACCAUGCUUGGCUCUCACCAGCCACUAAUCGGCGAGCUUAACUGUUGCUUACUUCCGCCCACCACUAGCCGCAUCACUCCGAUAAACAACAAACCUAACCCAGAGUGCUUUGGAUGGUUCCAGGACAGGUAAUGUAAAGAUUGAGUGGAGAUUGGGCUCCAUGGUGUUGAGAUUAGAGCUAUAGUGGGAAGCGAUGUGGACUCUACCGUGCAGCAGCAGCAGAUUUUUUAUUAGUUCGGGUGAGAUUACAAUUUGAUCACCUCUCGAUCUUUUAUUAUCUUUUUAUUUUUAGUUUUUUGGUCUUCCUGUUAACAUAUGGAAACCUAAACUAGCUAAGAUGGUGAGAAAGUCAGAAAACAUAAGGAAGGUGAAAGAAAUUCCAGCAUCCUUUCUUUUCCUUUUUUGCCCUUUUUUUCAUCUUCCCAUAAAAAACUAAGAGGACUAAAGGGAAAUCUACAAGCAAAAACCCAAAAAAAAAAAAAAAAAAAAAAAGAAAAAAAUUCGAACUUUACUUCUAGGUUUAUAUUUGAGUGUGGAAAGCUAUAUUACAAGAAUCCGUUUUGGCAUCAAAUAAAAUUGAGAGCAAAUACCUUUAUUUCUUAUUUACUAUUUUUUUUGGCAUCAACGAUAGAAAAUUGCCUUUUUAGCACUAUACUAGACAAUUGAUUCUAUGACAUGUUCUCUUUAUCUUGUUUAUAGCAUAUUUUAUUUGAUGCUUGAAUGGAUUUUUAAUUAUUUAAGAACUUAGAAUUCUAAGUUUAUGCCAUUGAACUCUAUACCAUGAUACCUCAAGUAAAAUAGUCAUUUUAUUGUUAAAAAAAUUCCAUCCUUCAUUUCACUAUAUUUUUAACCAUUGUUUAAAUCUAUGCAUGGCCUCUCGCUAAGGGGGUGAUGAAAUUUCAAAUAUUUAUAGAAAGUAGAUAUAUUUAAUAAAAAACAUAAGAAAAGGUGAAUGACCUUGUAUUUCAGUACCAUCCACCCAUGAUAUUAUGUGAGAUGCAGAAUUUUUGAGGUAUUAAAUGUAAGAUUGAAAAUAAAAUUGUACCAUUCCAAAUCGAAAGCUACACCACACAAGUCAUGUCAGCACCGACCAGUGGUGGUUCUUUUUGGCUGACCCACUGGAAACUAACCUCAAGUUGUACCACACCUGGAAACUUUUGGACCAUGGUAUAUAAAAUUAUCACAGAGAAAUUGAGAAACAUUUAAUGGUCUGUUGCAGUGGUCCUUAUGAUGGGGUCACCCCUGUCAUUAUUCAAGAUUGGCUGCUUCUCUUUUUUUUCUUUUUGUUUUUAGGUUAUAGAACUCGAUUGAUGAGAAAAUCUAGAUAGAAUUUGGAAUAUAAUUAGAAUCAUUCAACCCAUGAAUUUAAUAAUGUUGAAAUUUGUGCAACGAUUUAUGGUAAAAAGUAAUUAGAAAAAAAAAAAGAACAUACAAAUUUAACAUGGUUCAACUAAUUACCUACGUCCAUGAAAUAGGGAAGAUCAUUUUAGGAUUACAUAAAAAGGUAUUUAUACUAAUCAUUUGAAAUAAAAUUUCAAAAAUACCCCUGAACCAUAUCCCAUUGCCAUCCCUAGUUUCUCCCAAUCCUAUCAACCAAAAUCCAACAAUUAAAUCAAGUUCAAGCUUUGAUUUUUCCUUGUACAGAUCCUAGAUUUUGCAGUGGUGAGGCACCUGAAAAUUUCCAGACAUUUGGGACCAGCCUGCACAAAAUGAGAAUCCAAUAGCUAGGUCCCUCAGCCAUGUCCGGUGUACGAUUUCCAUGGUCCUCGUAAUUUGAUCAUGUCAUGUUCAGGAUUGAAUUAUAACAUAUGUAACUUUUAGACAUUGUUUCACUUUACAGCAAAUGGACACUGUCCAAACAAAAGUUUGCGUCACUUAGCUAGUGUGAAACCUUUAAAGUUCGUCAAUUAUUCAAACUUAGUAAUGUGAUUUAUAAAGCUUACCCUCUACAAUGUAAUAGGGUUUUAGUCCCUCCUUUAACAAUUCUGGAUAUAUGUGUUAAUUUUAGACCUUGCAAGACAUUUUCUAAAAGAUUGCUUCUAGUUAUUCUCCAAAUUCCUUAUAGAUUAAAGGGAUUAAAAUAUGACAAUUGUGAAAAGAAUCAACGGCCAUUCAUAAGCGGUGUCCAUGGAUCUUAUGUCCAUUAAGUCCACAUUUGGAAUUUUCUAAAGAUCGAUCAUGAUUUACGACUAGUGAGGUCAAUCUCUAACCAUUGUCAUACACUCUAGUGAUAUUAACGUUGGACCAGAUGCAUCCCCAAAAACUAAAGCUAAUGGGAGGUAGGGGUAGCUCUAUAGAUAAGACCCAACCAACAUUGGUAAUCAAUUGAUGUGAUGAGCUAUUUAACUUCUUUUCCUCCCACGAUAGACAGGUCCAUUGAAUUGUUUAUAUAAAUGAAUUAGUACAAUGUGAGUUGAGUCAAACCUUGCUUUCAUGCCACAUGGAUCACAUAUACAUCCAAAAGUUUUAAAGCUAUUAAGAGGUAAAGGUAACUCUACAUAAGUAAACCCAACCAUCAUGGUACUCAGUUGAUACAGGACACUUGACUUACAUAAAUCCUCCGUCAUCUAGUACCUACUUUUGAAAGGAUCUUCUAUUAUCCUCUCUAAGUCUUUGCAUUACUGGUCAAGAACAAUCCCAUCCACAUUUCCUCUUAUAUUAAACAUUAAUUUAUACAUUAAUCAAAGAUAUCCUUGAGAAGAUUUGUAGAAAUGUAUAUUACGGUCCAAGCAUGAGUUAGAUACAAUCAUUUAUUGUAGAAAUACUCCGGAACUAACAUUCUUCAUGAUUAGUAGAUAUGUGCAUAAUUGUUAUUCAUAACUAAUGAUCUAUAUCCCUUCUUACCAACUAGUCAACAACUGCAACCAUCAUCAUAAUGCUAACUAGUUUGAAGAUAAUGCAAAUGUCUUGAAGAUAGUGCAAAGAGAAGCAAAAAUCUAUACAACAAAAUCUUUAUUCUUCAAAAAAAUUUCAUCAAAUUGUUUAUUUAGUAGAUUGAAUCGCAUGCCAUGUAACUCUUAUGCAAAAUAAAGAGUUACUUAUUUAGUGGAUCUUGUUGAAAAACAAAUUGGAGUAUUUGAUAAACACAACAUUAGCUAGAUCUCUUUCAAGAAAGAGGAAAAAAAAAAUUGAAAGACAAGGGGAGAAGCUAAUGUUAGGAUAAUGGCUUGAAUGAAACCUUUGCAUAUAUGGUACAUAUGUAAUGCCCAAAACCUAAUUUAGGGGUAAAAUCAUAAUUUAUAAAUUAUUAAUUAAUUAAAGUAAUUUAAUAUGGGUAAAAAGGUCUUUUUGUAUUUCAAACCCCUAGAUAUAAAUUAGAUAUUUUCUAUCUUUUCUUAAACUUUCAGGUAAAAUUUUUAUUCCUUAAAUAAAUAUUUUUAUAUUCGUUAAUUAGUUUUUAACACUUUAGAUAUUUUUUGGAAUAUCUCAAUUUUGAUUAGAGUUCGUUUAAUUAAUUUUUAGGUCAAAAAUAUUAAAAAUUUAUGAACAUAAUUUGAUUUAUUAAUGGAAAUCGAUAAAUUUUGAUUACUCAAAUGAAUAGAUGUAAAUAAAAAAAAAUUAUAUAGUUUCAUAUGUGAAAAUUUCAUAAAAUUUGUGAGUAUGAAGGUUAAAAGUUUUGACUUUAGAGAAGAAAAAAAAAAUGAUGAAAGAUGUGUAGGAAGGAUUUGGUAUGUUGAAAAAAAAUUUGCAUGGGGUAUUUGUUAAGUUUCAGUAGGAGAUUUAAAUAAUAAUAAUAAUAAUAGUUUAAUGCAAAUAAAUAUUCUUAAAAGAUUUAAUUAGAUAAGUUAGAAAAAAAGAAAUAAAUUUUGUGCAGACCCCAUUUUGGGCUCAUUUUUUUUAAUUUUCUAUAGGGUUUUUCUUACCAGGUGGAGCAAUUCUGGGUGGUCACGUGUCGCUUCAAGAUUGGCUGCUAUGGAAUCAAGUAGUGGUUUGAGAAACCAAUGAGAGGUCGACAUGUGGAGGAAUAUUAUGAGAGAGGAGUGUGUUUUCUGUUGCGGGAGCGUAUGCUAACAGCUAGGGAAGGUGUGGUGUCUUCAUUGCCGUUUUAGGGAGAUUUUUUUAGGAGAGGAGGGUUCUUAGCUUGGAGAGCAAGCCAAGGGGAGGGGAACGCAGGGUUUGAUAGGGUUUUCUUUUUGGAGAGUAAGUUUUUCUGGGAGCAGGGGGUGUCUUCGUGGUUGGGUUUUUCAAAGAGAUAUUUUGGAGGUGUAGGUUUUCUUGAGAGGCCUUCUGUCGAGAGAAAGAAUAUUCAUAGGGGAUUCUCUUGUUUGGGAGUCAAGUUUUUACUACUGGAGGAAAAUCAGAGAGUGAAGCUAGCUUGGGAGAGAAAGCUUGCUGGUGAAGAAGUUUUUGCUAGUUUUAGGUAAGGCUACCUUGAGUUUGGCACGUUUCCGUCUCUGGAUGUCUUGCAUCAUUCUCUGUUGAUCCAUGAACAUUAUUUUGUGAUUUUGCUGUGGACAUUUAGGGCCACAGGGUUGUUUGAGUUGAACACGAUUGCUUGCAUAUACAUUGCUUUGUUUUUUGUUCUCUCUUAACAUUCUUAAUCUUAUCUCCUGUAAAAGGCUGGAUCCCCAUUUUAGUUUGAUGUUUGAUGGUUAUAGUGAGCUUGUUUAUCCCACCUGUUCCGAGCCCAUGGAUCGAUCUUGGGACGUGACUUCAUUGGUUUUCUAUUCUUCAUGAUUGUCAUCUUCCUCCAUCCUCUGUUUUUCUUGCAUUAUGUGUCUUUGCUCAGAUAGAGACAUUCCAGUUCCCUAGUAGCUGCUUCAUCAAUGCUUCGUAUGGGUUGAGAUUUAUGGGGGGGGCAAAGGUGAGUAAGUUUAUGUUAAAGAAGCUCACAAAUGGUAUGAUGACUGGUUUCGUUUCAGCAUUGUUUUUAGAGGAGAAAAACCGAAUGAAAUCUGAAAAGUAACCGGGGAAAUCAAGCUUGAAUGAAGGGGAAUGGUUCAUCACUUAAUGGCUGCAACGUAGAAAAUGGGCAAAUGAGUGCUCAGGCAGACGCGUGUUUCGACAUGAUUGGAUAUUUUGGUGGUGACAUCUGCAACCCUUAGCCUGAAAAGACCCCUGAGAUGCCAGGAACCACACUCCUUUGUUAUUCCACUGUGUUCUAAUAAUAUAAACUCUAUUCUCCAUGCAUGCCCGCAUUGUUGCCUUCAUUCCCUCCCCAUCGUCUCAUGAAUGUUGUCAUACCAUUCGUACCUGCUGCAUUUCAAUUCCCAUGCAUAAUGAAUCAUCCUCAAAUGAUGAAAUAUGCUACCCUAUUAUCCCCUGCUCUUGGAGACGUCUGGGAUCUUUUCCACUCUAUUCCCACUAUACUACCGACGUCGCUUGCCUGAAUCUCGUUCUCAGAAAUCAGUUUUCUGCACAGCAGUUUCCCCUACAAUCUGCAGCUUCUUCUACUCUGAAUCCACCUUGUCUGAUCCGCCUAUUGAUGAUAAUAAGACAGUGAUGAAGCCAGUGUUUUCUUCUCGAAAGCCCUGAUAGCAAACUCGCGAUUGAGCACUAUGGGACGGCGGGAAUUCUUGAUUAAGGCUAACGAGAUUACUGAUGGAAGACCCGACAUGAGGGUCUGGGUGAAAGACGAGUAUUUCACGAACCAAGUCCUAUUAUAUUUGAAAAGUCAACGCCCACUGAUGCAUUCAAAUAAUGUAAACCAUCAUUUUCAAGUCCUGGACCUCUAAGACCGGUAUCCUUCCGUGUUUUUCCCUUGGAUAUGUGGGCAUUUCUCUUCCUGUACCUCAUUUCAGCGCCGUCUUAGCUCAAGACUAGCUGCAUGUCUCACACCCAGAUGCGAUUGAGUAAAGCUCCAGUGAUAAUCAAGAAACAGACAGCACUCUAAUAUGAUGAAGUCCCUGUUGGUGAUGAGCCGCCCUCCUCUGUGACCUUGUGAAGUCUCCUGCUCCUCUUCUUGUAAUGCACCCUGACUUGCAUCCAUGCAAAACCUCCAUGCUUAUGUAUCCUACCCAACAUGCAUAACCAUCUCCCCUUUACCAAUUUUUUUCCCAUCACCACCUUUUCUCUCUCUACACCACAUACCCUUCAUGCACACUGUUUUCUCACUAAUCUACGCCACCUCAUACCACCAAUCCCAUGCGUACACCAUCCUAUCCUCCAUGCCUCAUCUAUCAAACCCGACACCAUCAAGCUUUAUCUUCCAUUCAUCCCCAUUACCUCCCGCUUACAUGGAUCUCUAUGCGCGUAGGCAUUCUAGAUUCACUACAUCUUCACACCAUCAUACCUAUUCCCUAUUCCAUUUAUCACACCACAUGCCCACUGAAUCUAUCUCUUUACUCACUAACACCUUUCACCAUCUUCUUUUUAAAAUAUCCACUCACUCGUUUCUCUCUCUACACCACGUGUUUUUCAAACCCAUUGUUUUUCACUCAUUAAACCCAUUCCCCUCACCCUUGCAUGGCCACACCAACCUCUCUACCCAUCCAUCAUAUCCUCAUACAUGCAUGGUUCCCAUCUGUACCCAUUUCUCUUACCAAUCAUCUUUCUCAUUUUCCAAGUCUACAUAUCUAUCACCUCACCACUAACCCAUUUUUCAUCACCCUUCAUAUCCCCAUAUACGUCACCAUACCCGCCAUCCACCAUUCAUUCCAUACCUUCCAUUGCAUGCUCCGCCACACUCAUGACCACCAAAGAAGUGACACAGAGAAGGAUCGGUGAUGGCAUGCAAAAGUUCUUCUAUCAGGCGUCAAUGAGAGCUCGGUAUUUUGUCAUGAGAAUUCACUAUAUUCAUUAAAUAAAAAAAAUAAAAAUAAAAAACUCCAGGGGCAGCUAGUAGCUGGGCAAGAGGAGACAUUCCAGUGGCAGAUUCACGUAAGUGCUAGACAAGAGCAACUUUUGACCAUAACGUGCAUUUACCGCUUGGAAUAUAUGUGGCCAUGGUUAAAAAAGGAUCGAAUUAAAAGAAUGUAUUUAAUUAAAUAUAUUGUGACAUUAUUAGAGAUGGUGGAUUUGAAGUAAUUAAGAUUUAAUAUAUGAUUAAUGCGGAGUUGACGAAGAGAACAUCAUGCAUGACCAUCCAUCAAUGUAUAACUAAGCAAUAGAUGAUAUUUACACAUGACAUGACUUUACUAGUAGUUUAUUACUUUUCUUUUAAUAUUUAUUUCAUGUUGAAUUAUUAGAAUCAAGGAAAAUAUGAUACAAAGAAUUUUUUAAACGUAGAGGUGAACUUGUAUGACCUUAUUUGUCCUUCCAUGAGUGAAAUCAUCAUCUAAAGUCAUUUAUAUAGAUUUGUCUCUUUUAUAUCUAGUCAAAAUUAUGCUUAUUCAAAUUGGGGUUGGAAAACUUCUCUAGCCAAAGAAUCAACUUCAAUGUGGAGAAGACAUAAUGACCUUUUUUUAUUAUUUAUUUUUUCUUAAUUUCCUUAUUUCUUUUAAAAUCAACUUCUUUGUUGUUUGGGAAGAAAAUUAAACAAAAUUAAUUAAUAAUUAAUUAUCACAACUUUUCUAACAUUUUCAUACAUUAUAAAAAAAAUCCUAGUAGAAAAUUUAAUAUUAUAUAAAAAUUUAUGAAAAUAUUGAAACAAAAAACUUACAAGGCAACACCCUAUACCAAGAUAUUGAGUAUCUGAAAGCAUCCAUUCUCAAUUCUUUCAUUGUAUGCACAUCUUCCUAUUAAAUUCAAAUAUGUAAAUAAAUAUCACCAUAAUUUUUAUAAUAUUAAUGAAAGAAAAAUGAAAAGGAAAAGAUAAUACGAGGAAUUCCAAACCUUAUAACAAUGAUAGAAAUCAUUUGCAACAUCACCAUUGCUACCAUCCAUUAUCCUAGCUAUAUUGUUAACACAAAAAAGUUAAGAAAUAUAAUUAAUUUUUUUAUAUAUCAAUAUAUAAUAUAAUUAUUCAUUAAUUAGGUUCUAAUCUUAUCUAAAUUAUUUUUAAUGCUUUUAAAUCCAUAUUGAUUAUUGAAUUAGAAAAGUUAUCAAGUCAUAAUUCACUAGCUAGUUGGGACGAUGGUUCAAUUGUGAACAAAUAAUGAUUCAAUAUGAUUUUUGAAAAUUAUAAUUUAUAUAUUCUUACAUAAAAAUAUAUAAUUUUAAAUUUAUAUUUAUGUAAAUAAUUAUAAUUUAUAACAUUUAUUUGUUUAUAAAUUAAAUUAAUUUUUAAUAUAAUUUCAAAAAAUAAAAAAAUUAAACCAGGAUGGUGGGUUCUUCUAUUGAUCCAUCUGCCCACUUCACUUAAUUUUUCAUUUUAUCUUUUUGGGAUGAAGAUUAUCAUAUCUCAACUUCGUAUUCUUGUCAUCAUUUGCAAUCACUUCCUAAUAGCAAAACCUAAACUAUUUUAAGUACUCUUUUUCUUAGAGAAAAAUAAAAAAAUAAAAAAUAAAAAUUUAAUAAUAAAAGUUUUUGUCAUUAUCUUACUUGCUUUUUCUUUUCAAAAAAUAUAAAUUAUUAUUAAUAUUAUUAUUAUUAUUAUUUUGACUUUUAAGUUUUAAAACUCAAAUGUUAUCCUAAACCUUCAAGCUUAAAUCCAAACACAAUCAUCAUAAACUUUUUGUGUUAAAAAAAGUCAGGAAAAUUAUUCAACUCAAAGAGAGACCUGGGUAUUUACGACUGAAAGUAUCCCAUAUACUAGGACCUCUGCCACCUUCGUUUGCUAUGAGUCAUAUUAAUUUAUAUACUGAAAGUCAGGAAAAUCCAUGCACAGAACAUAUUAAUUUAUAUUAAAAAUAAGAAAAUGAUAUGAUAUAGAAUACACAGCAUAUCAAACUUCAAACUUGAACAUUUGAAAUAUACGGAAAAAAUGGGUUUAGAAUAUAAAAAAAUGGAAUUUAGAUCUAAAGCAAUCACACCAUUGCAUGGUACAAAUUAAAGUGAUUUUUGAUAAUGUGGCAAGUUGUGAUUGGUCUUCACUAUUAUCUAUAAAAGUUGUUUUUUGAUACCAUGAAAAUGUCAGAUCUCUAUUAUGAACAUACUAAAAAAAACAAAAAAAAGUUGUAAUAGAUUAAAAUUAAUCUAUGAAUCCGUAAAAAUAUCUCCUUGCUUGAUAAGUAGCCGAACCUGUUCCAAAAAUGAAACCGGCCGAAAACUACUUCGAUUGAAGGAGGCAGCUACCACUGGCUCAGUCCAAGCCAAUGAGCUAACCAGGAUUAGUAGGCCUAGUGGUAAUGAGCACUGAUGAGUUGCUAUGAGUAGCUGUGGUUUCAAGGUUCAUCUUCACUCCCUUUAUAUAGAUCCAAAUUAGAGGAAAUCAAUCAAUUAAUGUGACAUUUUUACUAACUCUCCAAUUGAAGGAGUCAGCUACCACUGGCUCAGUCCAAGCCAAUGAGCUAACCAGGAUUAGUAGGCCUAGGAGUAAUGAGCAGUACUGAUAAGUUGCCAUGAGUAGUUGUGGUUUCAAGUUUCAUCUUCACUCUCUUUGUAUAGAUCCAAAUUAGAGGAAAUCAAUCCAUUAAUUAUGUGACAUUUUUUAUGUGAAAAUUUUAUCCAUAGGCAUAUUAUAUAUUGCUAUCAAAGUAUGGCUAGAACUGAUAAGAGGACUUGUCAAAAUGAGACAAUUAUAUAUUUAGAAACAUCUUAUACAUCUCCUAUGGAUGUAUAAGAUGUUUUUCAUAAUUGCAAAAAAAUCAAAGUUUUUUUGCAAUUAUGAAAAACUUGAAUACCAAUAACAAAAUGUUAAACCUUUUAGUGAAAAAUAAAAAUUGAGAGCAAAACCCUAAUAGCAAACAAAUUAAUUUGUUUUAAAAAAAGAAUUAAAAUCCAUGCUACUUUGAACUGAGAUAAGAUAAUGGAAACACUAAUCUAUCCUCAUGAAAUUAGACUUCCUUAAAUUAAAUGGUAAAGUACAUAAUGUUAUUUGAUCCUUGAUCCGUGAAAGUAGAGGAAUGAAUGAAACUUAAUUAAAAACUAAUUCGAUACGUAAUUAACAAGAUAUUAUUUUGUCCAAUUUUAACUACAAGAAAAAAAGCUUAUCUUUCUAAUAACAAUAAUAGGUAAUGGCAGCCAUGGGUGAGGCUGUGAGGGAGAUGGAGAGGGUGACUGUGUCGGCAAUGGUCCGUUGUGGACUGAAUGAAGCUGGGUGUGGUGAUGGAGAUGGAGCCGGAGAGAGAGAGGAAGCAACAACUUGGGAGGUGACGAUGCAUGGACUGUGAGGGCAUAAUGGAGAUGAGAAGUGGCAGCGCGUGGUGAGGCGAGAUGAAGGAUGUAGGUGGCAGCCAUGGUGAUCGUUGAUCAGUGGUUUUGGCUAGUCAGGAAGAGGAGUUGGAGAUGGUGGAGUUUUAAGGUGGACGGUGGUGAGAGCGACGGCCAUGGAAGGGUGAUAGCAGAGAGGUGAUAGUGUGUACUGGUAAUGGAGAUGGCGGGCAAGAGCAAAGAGAGAAGCAGAGGAAGAAAAUAAAAAAAUCCAAGAAAGAAAGAAGAACCAGGGAGAAGGAGGGGGGGCCGGUCUCUUGCCGGACGGAGAGAGCCUUCUUUAAUUACUUAUAACUUGAUUCUCCUGAUUUUCUGUUUUCCAAAAAAUUCUGAUUUUCCUUCUAAUUCUAUUUCUUCCUCAAAAGUAAAGUAAAUAAGGUAAAAUUAAGGAAAAUAAAACAAUAAACAAAAAUAAAAAAUAAAAUAAAUACAAUAAUAAAAAUACACAACGCCUUAUUGCUUCAAAAGAAGCUCCCAUCGAAGUUCACUAUGAAUCUUUGGGUACCUAUCAUGAGAUUUAUGGGCACUAUCUAAUAGUAAGAAGUGUAAAAAAAGAGAUUCCUUGUAUAUACAUUCGAACCACUGUUGGUCAUAUUUCUCUUUAUCGAGAAAUCGAAGAAGCCAUCCAAGGCUUUUGUCGGGCCUGCUCAUAUGAGACCUAAUCAUAUGAUACUUAGGCUAAGUAAUUAUAUGAUAUGAUACCGGUAUUAAUUCGGGUCUCUCCGGUUCAACUAGGAUCAUAGUUCUUGAAUUUCUACGCGAAGCAAGAUCGAGAAAAGGAAGUUUUACAACCACUGACUCAAACCCAUUGUCAAAUCCUACUCAGCGGAAUAUGGGGGUACUUAUGACAGAAAGGGCCAAUCUGGUCUUUCACAAUAAAGUGAUAGAUGGAACUGCCAUGAAACGACUUAUUAGCAGAUUAAUAGAUCACUUCGGAAUGGCAUAUACAUCACACAUCCUGGAUCAAGUAAAGACUCUGGGUUUCCAGCAAGCCACUGCUACAUCCAUUUCAUUAGGAAUUGAUGAUCUUUUAACAAUACCUUCUAAAGGAUGGCUAGUCCAAGAUGCUGAACAACAAAGUUUGAUUUUGGAAAAACACCAUCAUUAUACUGUGCAUGAGAUAUAGGUAGGAGAGCACAAAAAAUUCCCUAGUCAAAUAGGCUUAAAAAAUAUAUAAAAAAUAGGCAUCAAUUUUAGGGUCUACAUUGGCACAGGACAAAAUGUGUCUAAUUACUAUUUCCACAUUGGAACUCCUGUUCAAAACUCUUGAGGCACAUUUAUGAACAAUAGGAAUCUUGACAAACUAUAAUUAGAUUAUUUAUUUGAUCUUUAAAAAGUGUUUGAGUACAUAUUUAAUUAUUUUUAUUUAUUCUUACUUAAUGUAUCUUUAAUUCUAGUUUCUUUCUAUCCUUUGAGCCAAACUUGCCUAAUAGGAGUUUGUUAUAUUAUUCUUCUCUUGUAAACCUUGUAAGUGUUCACUAGAGGAUUUGUAUCAAGUGUGAGUAUUCAUUGAAGGGUUUGUGUCAAAUUUGAGGUAUCAUUAGAGGGUUUUGUUUAAGUGUGAUAUAUUACUCGAGUACUUAUUAAGUGUAGGGUAUCACUUGAAAGAAAUUAUAAAGGUUAAAUGGGGCAUGCUCCAAGUGUAAAAAUUUAAAAAUUAAAACUUUACUAAUAGUUGAAUAACCUCAGGUUUGGGAUUGAAAGUAGAGAAAGUAGUCAUAUAUAGACAAAUUGUCUCAAAUCAUCACAAAUGAAAAUUGAAUAUCUCGUAUUUCCAGAAAACUUGUCUUGGAGUCUCAUUAAUUAAAUUGUUGGAUAAGCGGAGCAAAGAGGAUAUCUUUUUCCCAGCUGACAAACUAUUCACAAUAUUAUUUAGAAGAUUUAUAUAAAUUGAAUCAAUAAUUAUGCUGAAAAAAAAAUGGAAAAGUUCAACCGAUAAACAGGAUUAUUUCGUUUUUCAGCUCUCCAAAAGGCACUUUUUUGGUGGGAAAUCCAUAGGCAUGUUAUAUAUUGUUACCAAAAUAUGGUUAGAACUAAUCGAAGUGCGUCAAAAUGAGACAAUUAUUUACAAACAUUGAUGUUGUAUAUCUCAAUGAUUUUUGAUAUAUUAUAUAUUAUGGAUUUUUUUUUUCUAUAAUUAUAAUUUGACAAACAUAGUUUAGAGUUUGUUUGAUAGUAUUUUUAUUCAAAAUAUUUUUAAUAAAAGUAUUUUCAAGAGAAUCACCUGCCAAAUGUUUUUCCAAAUAACGUCACAAGUGAUUUUUCAAUAUUACAAAUGAUUUUUUAGAAUUUUAAAAGUAUUUUCUAAAAUUUAUCAAACACCUAAUUUUUUUUUCUUUCAAAAAUGUUAUUUAAAUUAAAAACGCUUUCUAAAAUCAAUAUCAAAUGAACUCUUAAAACCUAUUUGAUAGUGAUUUUAAGAAACUUUUUUAGUUUUUUUAACAUUUACUAAAUAAAAAUUUUCAAAUGUUAGAAAUAUUAAAAGCACUUCUUAUGAGAACAUUGAAGUUGAAGUUUAACGUCCCAUAAGUAUAAUUGUAUUAAAUAUUAUUAUUAUUAUUAUUAUUAUUUUCUCAUUAUGAAAAACUCGAAUCUCGCUAAUAAAAUGUUAAACCUUUUAAAGAAAAAUGAAAAAUUGACGGCAAAACCAUAAUGGCAUACAAAUUUUUUUAGAAAAAAUAAAAUAAAAUAUGUGUUGCUUUGAACUGAGAAAAGAUAAUGGAAGCACUAAUCUAUCUUCAUGAAAACUUCCUUAGAUUAAAUGGUAAGGUACAUAAUAUAUUUUUAUUCUUGAUCCAUGAAAGUAGAGGAAGGAAUGACAAAACUUAAUUAACUACUAAUUCAAAGAACUUGUUGCUGUCUCGACUGUGCUAUAGGAGACUCCAGGGAAGUCAGAAUAGGAGAGCACUUAUCUUAGGUGGGUGCAAUGUCAUUAAUACAGAUAUAAUAACAAAAAACUUGUCCUUCAGUUAACCGUAUUUUACACCAUUUAGGUGAUUGCUAAUUUUCAGUAUCUUAUGUCUACUACUCCUAAGCUAUAGGUAAAAUAUAUAUAAACAUUUGCAUACAACAAUCAAUGAUUUAUUAAUAUGAAUAAUUGAAAGUUGGAGAGUUGAUUUAUUUGUUUAAGACCGCAUGAAUCACUCUUGAUUAAGAUAAUGAAGAAGGGAAUAGCUUUUAUUGAAAUAUAUGUAUGGAUGUUUCUUCAAAUAUACGUAAGACGACCUUUUAGUCAUCCUACUGUAAAUAUUUGAAUAUCUCUACUGAAAGGAACCAGAUUGAGGCCAAGCAUACUUAAUUUGAAAGUGUCAAAGGAGGAGAUGAUAAAAAUCAAGAAGGUGACUCAGCUAACAUUUGUUGAGUCCAAGUCUUGAUAAAUUGGAGUUUCAGAUUCAUGAUUUUCCAUAGAACAUUUGAUACCAUCAAACAAUCUAGAAACUUAAAUUAUUAGGCAGAAUGAUCAAUAACAUACAUUAAGUUUAUUUAAACUACAACCUUAACAUUUAAUUAGGGUGAAAUUAAUGGUAUAAAAUUGUUAUCGUAUAAGUGUUGAAGUUUUAACCUAAGUCUAUAUGAUAUAAAUUGUUGGCUUGUUACUUAAAAAUUAAGGGUUUGUUUGACAAUAUUUUUGAAAAAAGGUUGUAAGAAUAUUAUUUUUUUUGAAAAUAUUUCUUUAAAACAUUUUUUUAGCAUAAUUUAAAAAAAAAAAAGGUUUUAUGAACAAAAUUUUGUUUGAGAAUUCACAUAUGAAAAAUAAUUUUUUCACAAUAUUUCUUAAAGAAUUUUUUUAGCAUAGUUCUUAAAAUAAAAUUUUGUUUGAGAAUUCUAAUAUGAAAAAUAUUUUUUUCAAUUAAUUUAUUCUCUCUUUAAAUAGCACUUAUAUCUAUAAUUAAAAAAAAAUCCUAAAAUAUUCUUUAUUUCGUUUCUUUUAUUGUUUCUCAAAUAUUUUAUAAAAAACACUUAAAAAUAACAUGUUUUUUUAGAAUGAAUUCUCAAAGAAAUAAUUUUCAAUAAAAAAAAUUUCAAAUAUGUUUCUAAAUUAGAAAACUAUUUUCAAAAAAAAAAAAAUUUUUAAAUAAAAGUAGUUCCUAGAUAAAUUCUAAGCUUUUAAGUUAAAUACGUCACACAAGUGACUCAUCCAUCAUAUGAAAGUAGUGAAUUGAAGAGUUUGACCCAACAAUUCACAAGGUGACUCAAAGUCAUAUCAGAAGCAUUAUCCAUAUUAUGGAUAAGGUAAGAAUGUAAAACUAAGAAAAGUCAAAGUUUGCAUGAUGAAUAUUAACUCAUCAAGUGUUGAAGAUUUUUUUUAGGUUAAUUUCAUGUAAAACUGGGUUGGGCUAAAUUAGGAAUACAUAUGAUCAUUUUAAGGCACCAAAACUCAUUCAAGUUAUAUCAAAUUGUUUUGUAUCUUUUCAAAAAACAAGUGAAGUGUCUUUGUAGAUCAAACCAUAUUAAAAUUAGGUGCUUCAUAUUAAAAUUAGCUAAUUCAUAUUUAAAAGGUUUUCAACAUCAUAAAGAUUUUUUUUAUUUUUUAUUUUAUUUUUUUAUAGCUAAAAAAUGAAGAUUUUUGGAAAUCAAGAAGCAUAUGGGAAAUGGUGAAUUGCCCAAUCCAUCAAUUAAGAAGGUUUUGGUAAAGAGACAAGGCAAUGACUACAGAUUGAGCAACUAGUCAACCAAUCAAGUUAUCUCUUUCUCAACAGUCACUUGUUUUACUUUGUACUUCCAAUGGCUAGUUGAGUUGUCGAUUGCUCGAUCAACUAGUUAGUACAAAAUGUGUCUAACUACUAUUUCCACAUUGAAACUUCUAUUUAAAACUCUUCAGGCACAUUUAUGAAUGAGAGGAAUCUUGAGAAAUUAUUGUUAAAUCAUUUAUCUGAGUUUUAAAAAGUGUUUGAGUAUAUAAUUAAAUUACUUUUACUUAUUCAUAUUUAAUGUAUCUUUAAUCCUAGUUUCUUUGUAAACAUUAAAUGAGGUCUACUCCAAAUGUAAAAGUUUGAAAACUUUGGCUUAAAAGCCUUAAUAAUAGUGAAAUAACCUUAAGCUUGACAUUGAAGCUAGAGAAAAGCAAACAUAUAUAAGUAGAUUGUCUUAAACUAUUAUAAAUAAAAAUUGCAUCUCUCUUACUCUAUUUCUCUUUUUUUUAUUGCAAUUAAUACAAUUACUCUUACUUUUAAAUUUAUUAAAAAAUAUUGUUGUAAAAGACAUCCAAUUUAACCCCUCCUCUUGGGUCUAUGUAGAGGAUUGAUUGACUUUUCAUACAUUGUCAUAGUGUUGAAAUUGAAUAUUAGUGAAUAUAUGAGAGUUGGCAGGUCUACAACAUGUUGGAUGUUAUUUGUUAAUACUUGUAAAGAAAACAAUGUAAAGAAAGAGUUUGGAAAAUAUGUUUAUCAUUUGAUUGUUUAAACUCCUAACAUGAUCUCACUUUGAAAGGAAAGACAACAAAUGAAAAGAGUGAUAGAUAGAAAAAUUCCUUGCAGACUUAAAUAAAACAAUUCUACAAGAAAAUCAAAGUUUUAUUUUCUGUGAAAUGUGGAUACAAAAGAGAUGAUCAUCUCCAUCUUAUUGAAUACAUACAUUAAAAAGAUAAUGUUGUGAAGUCCUAUUUUUUAAGGAAUUUCUUGAACCACAUAGCUGAAUCUUUAGGGUGCCUUUUCAAGUUAUUAUCAUAAUCGAUGAAGAUGAUGUCAAACCUUAGAGUGUAACUAGAAUUCCAUUUGUAGUUGUCCAACAAUGACCAUGCAAAGUAACCCUUAACAUUAACACCAUCCCUACAACCAAAAAUUUUGAUACCCUAAUUAGUAUUUUUUUUUUUCUCAUUUGCAUAAUCAAAUCAUUGUAAAGUACAUGCAAAUAUAUUACCUAUUGUCAUGUUGAAAUCAUCCAAAAUGUAGUAAUUGCAAAAAGCCUAAACACUAGAAAAAAAUUUCGUAUGUGUAAGAAAUUAAACUUACUUGAUGGCUAAUUGAAGGAACAAAAGAUGUUGGUAGUGGUAAUCUAUCCUCAUGGGGUCCUUUAGUACCUCCUUAAUUUGUAAGGCACUAUUGUGACUUUACUACACAUUCCUCUUGGAUAAACACUAAACCAAGUUGAAUAAGCUAGCAAAUUCAUUUCUCAACGUUUAGUUUAUGAAAAUGAAGUUAUAAAUGAUUCUCAAUUUAGAAAAAUAAGUAUGAAAUGCUAUAAAAUAACAAUUUAUUGAUUACGUACCAUUGGACUGAUGGGAACUCCAUUGCGUUGUUCUAUCAAACCAAAGGGAAAAAAUAAAAAUUAAUUACAUAUAUAGGUCAACAAUAAUCAAGAUGAUUUAUUGAAAUUAUUAUACAAAUCAAACUUUGAGGAUUUUAUAUGGACUUACUAGUAAGAUUAACAAGAGAAUCUGUAGCAUAGCUCACAUUAACGGUAUUGUUUUAAAGAAAAAAAAAAGUGAAAAUCAUUUCUUUUCUAACUGUUUUAAAGAAAUUAUUUCCAAUUUUCUCAAUAUCAUGGAAUUGUUAAUGUUAUGGCAAAAAUCAAAGUUGGCAAAUGAUAACAUGGCACACAUUGGAGGACAGCAAAGCGACUUACUGGCAGGUGGGGUUGUAAGAUCCCUCCCAAAUAUGCCACAUGGCCUUCUCUCGACCAACCACACGAGCAAACCCCCCUCAGACACGUGGUGUCGCUCUUUCCAUCCGGGGGAUGUUAUUCGACUGAUGGUUCACCUUCCUCGGAUACACUUUAUCCGACACACAACUACCGACUGACUGGGGCAACUGUUCAACUUCCCCGGUCAAUCCAUGCCCGGAUCCUGAACAUCUUUUGUCUAGGUAAGCCAUCGCCUAGCGAUCUAACUUUCCUGGACAUGUCUCACUCAGAUCAUAUUGUCAUCCGACCAGACUCAUGGCUGCACGGAAUUGAGAAAGCGACUCAAAUAGUGUCUUGGACUAGGUCUCCCAAGUCUUCACUCGCUUUCAAUUUAAGAUGUGUUUGAUGGGACAAUCAUAGGUCUUCUCAAGCCGCCUGACAUAUCUUGUGUACUAGUGGCUAUAACUUGAAGUGACAGAGGCGCCACCUGAACGCCCCUUUGACAGCCAUCCUUUGGCAUCAGAAAAAGUCAUGAUUGUUCCGCCACCCUAUGUGUCGCAAUCAUGACUAUCAUGGGUUUCACUAGCCCUACAAAUAUACCCCCUAUGUUUCAUAUAAAAACGGGAAGACAAUUCUUAAGAAGGUAAGCAAUUCAAAAAAUUGAGGAGAAACGUUCCCACAAAGACAUUGCUUUUAGUCAAUUUACAAAAGACUAACUUAAGCUUCAAAGGGUGUGUCCGGACGACUCGUCUGGACAUCUUUUUGCAGGAAGAAGGAAGAAACUCAUUCUUAGUUGAUCCGAACUCCAUUUCUGGUAGUUGCAACCGCCACGGUGGAAUUUUGUCAUCAACAUUGGCGCCGUCUGUAGGAAGCAUGAUCGUUUUUUUUUCAGUAACUCCUAAACUUUCCUUUCUCAAAGAUGGCUACACCUUCAAGAAGUCGUUCUUCUGCUAAAGGCGAAGAAGGUUACUUUGAAUGGCGAAAUAACAUGGAAAUGUGACAACGGGAAAGUGAAAGACAGAUGCAAGCCUUACUUCAAAAACCAGGAGGCUCAGGGAGGAAAAUGCCAUAUUAAGGGUCCAGGUUUCCUCAGAACCCCUACCUUGCCAACAACCACGAAGUCCUAGGUAUGACCAGGAAGCCAUGUACCCUGGGAACGUGAGUCUUCCCCCCGAAGCACAUGAUGCAUGGCCUGCUGAAGAGCCAAUACCCGCUCGCCGUAUGCCACGGGAAGAAAGUUCCAACUCCACUCACAUCUCCUCAAAGAGGAAACACGAGAAAAGACCCCAAAUAUCUGACGCUAUGCGUGCAAGGCUAGGGCCUCAAGCUCCUAGAAAAAACAAGUCAUAUGCUACUACAGCACCAGGGGCUUGCCUCAGGCCCUCAAACUUACCUGUUUCACGAGAGCAUGCCCCUCACCAGCCAAAGCCAUGGGCUGAGGGGAACCCGCUGACUGCAACACCCCCAGGUUCCAUUAGCCGGCGAUUGGAUGACAUGCUCUCCACGCCCUUCAGUUCUCGUAUCAUUGACUAUGAGCCCCCACGAGGGUUCAUCAUCCCAAAAUUUUCUACAUACGAUGGGUCUAGUGAUCCAUUUGAUCAUAUCAUGCACUACCGAUAGCUCAUGACCCUCGAUAUAAGGAAUGACCUGCUGCUAUGCAAAGUUUUUCCAGCUAGCCUCCAAGGCCAAACUCUCUCAUGAUUCCACCGACUUCCUAUAAACUCUAUCGACAAUUUCAGGGACCUGUCCGAAGCUCUCGUAGGGCAAUACCUAUGCUCAGCCAGACAUAAGAAAAAUAUCAGCACUUUACAAAACAUCAAAAUGCAUGAAAAUGAAACCUUGAGAGAAUUCGUCAAGAGAUUCAGAUAGGCUGUCUUGCAACUAGAGUCUUAUAACAUGGACGUCAUCCUGCAAAUUUUCAAGCGAAGCAUAUGCCUAGGGACCCCCUUCUUUGAGUCUCUCGCCAAGAAACCCCCUACAACCAUGGAUGAUCUAUUCCAACGUGCGAACAAAUAUUCCAUGCUAAAAGAUGACAUCCGAGCAGCCACACAGCAAGUCCUAGUUGUCGGCCAAGCCGCGAGAAGCGACGCCACCAGGAACUUCAAGCCUUCGAACCAGCAAGGGCCACCCAAUAGGGAACAAGGCGAACGACGCCCGCCAAUCACACCAACUCCUCUUACCUUAACGUAUGAGAAAUUGCUCCCUAUGAUUUGUGAGUUGCCCGACUUUAGAUGGCCGUGACCAAUAAAGUCAAAUCAUAUAGAAAGAGAUCACAACAAAAGAUGUGCGUACCACAAGGAUCACGGGCACACCAUAGAGACAUGCAGGACUUUCCAUUAUUUAGUGGAAGAUCUUCUAAAAGCGGGGCACUUAAAGCAGUAUGUUCGCACGACGUCCAAAAGUGGAGAAUCCUCUCAUGGCCAUGGUCCACGGGCCCCUAUAGCUCCUGUCAAAGCCAUAAUCAACUACAUACACGGGGGACCCUUGAAUGACGAGUACAACUCUAGAAGAAAGAAACAGAGAUUACUGCAGGCAACCACUGUCCGGGAACAUGUAAGUUCCAUCCGGCCAAGAUUAGCCAGAGUGAGCGUUCACUCGAUAGAUAGAGCCAUCGUUUUUUCCCCUAUAGAUCCCACUCGAGUGUUGCAGCCACAUCGAGAUGCUCUCAUCCUAACUAUGGGAAUUGGAGACUUUGAUGUGAAAAGGAUACUAGUCGAUUCGGGUAGCUCCGCAGACCUUUUACAAGUUUCAAUGGUCAAGCAAAUGGGAUUUAUACCAUCCAGCCUGGAAAACCUAGGAAGAAUAUUGUCCGGGUUUAACGGGGCCUCUACAACAUCGCUUGGUGACAUUAUUUUGCCAAUUCAAGCUGGGCCAGUCACUCUGAACGUCUUAUUUUCCGUGGUUGAAGAUUUGUCCCCUUUUAAUGCCAUCUUGCGACGUACCUGGCUCCAUAGCAUGAAAGCCAUCCCAUCCACGUAUCACCAAAUGGUCAGCUUUAUCACUCAAGACGGGCAAGUUGAUCUCUACGGAAGCUAGCUUGCUGCCCGACAACGCUACCAAAUCGCUUGCGAGGCCGGACCUAGCACCAACAGCGAGCAUUCUCCCAAAGAAGCAAACCUGCUCUACCAAUAGCAAUUAUAGCAUCCGGCGGACAAGGAUUCCCCGGUAGCGGACCCCCUAGAAGCUAUUCAGAUUUCAGAGCAGGAAGAGCAUUUCACGCAUAUUAGCUCUCUCUUGCAGCCAGCAGAAGCAUAGGAGCUUCUAAGCGUGCUCCAACAAAAUCAAGAUAUCUUCGCUUGGACCCACUCGGAUAUGACCGGAAUACACCCAACUGUCGCUUCACACCGGCUUAACGUAUUGACCUCUUCAAGCCCCGUUCAACAAAAAGUCCGGCGAUUCCACCCAAAUAGGCAAAAGGUCAUUCAAUAUGAAGUGGGGAGGUUAUUAGAAGCUGGAUUUAUAAGAGAGGUUGAAUACCCGAAAUGGCUAGCAUAUGUGAUGGUGGUCCCCAAGAAAUGAGGAAAAUGGUGAGUGUGCAUGGACUAUACCAAUCUCAACGACGCAUGUCCCAAAGAUAGUUUUUCACUACCACGGAUAGAUCAGAUAGUAGAUGCUACUGCCGGGCAUGAAAUGCUAUUUUUUUUGGACGCUUUCUCCGAAUAUCAUUAGAUCCCCAUGGCGCCCGAAGAUGAAGAAAAGACUGCCUUCAUAACCCCGCACAGGCUCUACUGUGACAAAGUCAUGUCAUUCGGACUCAAAAACGCUGGAGCCACAUAGCAAAGGCUAAUGACCAAGAUUUUCAAACCGCUGAUUGACGACAUUAUAAAAGUAUACAUUGAUAAUGUGGUAGUCAAAAUCAAAACUCGAAGCGAACACGCCCAACAUUUGCAAAAAGUUUUUCACUUGCUAAGAAAAUUUGGCAUGAAACUCAACCUGACUAAAUGCGCAUUUGGAUUAAGCUCAAGGAAAUUUCUGGGAUUCAUGGUCACUCAGAGAGGGAUCGAAGUCAAUCCAGACCAAAUUAAGGCUAUUGCGAACACGCUCGCACUAACAAAUAAAAAAGAGUUGCAACGCCUUACUGGCAGACUUGUCGCACUUAAGCGAUUCAUAGCUCGAUUCACAGACAAGCUAAGACCUUUCUUUUUAGUGCUCAGGGAAGCCAAUAGAUCAAGAUGGACACAAAGCUGCCAAGACGCUUUCGAAGAAAUCAAGUGAUAUCUCACUCAGCCUCUCAUCCUAAGUAGUCCUCAACCCGGUGAAAGACUCUAAUUGUAUUUGGCAAUGACUGAUUGGGCAGUUAGUGUAGUUUUAUUCCAUUCCUUGUCACCCAAAGAGUAGAAACCCGUUUAUUUCAUCAGCAGAGCGCUGGCUGAUGCAAAAACAAGGUACUCGAAAAUGGAACAAACAACCUUGGCCUUGCGCAUGGCGGCUCAAAAGUUGCGCCCAUACUUCCAAGCCCAUCCCAUAAUUGUGCUUACCAAUCAGCCACUUAGAAAUGUCCUGCAUAAAUCGAACAUAUCAGGGAGGAUGUUUCAAUGGGCUAUAGAGCUAAGUGAGUAUGGAAUUGAUUAUCAACCUAAAUUGUCCAUGAAAUGAGAAGUCAUGGCAGAUUUUAUAGCGGAAACACCUCAACCACUUGCUCCAGACAAGGAAUCGAGCCAGGAGGGUUGGUGGAUUUUGCAUGUUGAUGGAGCUUCCCCUAUCGUUCGGAUCAGGACUUGGACUUCUCCUUGAAUCACGACCGGAGAACAAUUUGAGCAAUCUAUCCGUCUGGGAUUUCCCACUUCAAACAAUGAAGCAGAAUAUGAGGUCAUUCUAUCCGACCUAGGUCUUGCUACCGCCCUCUGUGCCUCCAAAGUCAGAAUCCAUAGCGACUCUCAACUUGUUGUGGGACAAAUACGAAAAGAAUACGAAGCCAAGGAUGAACGCAUGGUAAAGUAUUUGCUAAAAGUUCAAGAGUCGCUGAGCCGGCUAGGAGAGUGGGCCAUUGAGAAAAUCCCAAUGAUAGAUAACAUGCAGGCUGAUUCUUUAGCGGGGAUAGCCGUCUCGUUUCCCGUGAAAGAAUCCAUGCUGCUGCCUAUAUAUGUUCAAGCAACUCCCGCUAUCGCUAAGUCAUUCAUUUGCAACACCGUCAAUAAGGAAUAAGACUAGACAGUCGACAUAAAGGCUUAUCUCCGAGCAGGAACCCUACCGGAAGAUCCUAAGCACGCCCAUCAAACCCGGGUGCAAGCCACCCAUUUUACCUUGAUCGGGGAUGACCUCUAUAGACAGUCCUUUGAAAGUUCAUACCUUAGAUGCUUGACCCAACCAGAGAUCCAAUAUGUGAUGUCCGAACUUUACGAGGACAUUUGUGGUAAUCACUCGGGAGGUCGUACCCUAGCGUACCAGACACAUUCGCAGGGAUAUUAUUGGCCCACCAUGAAGAAAUACACAAAAGUUUAUGCCACGAAAUGCGACAAGUGCCAAAGGUACGCACCAGUUCCGCAUAUGCCCGCUAAGACAUUGAACUUAGUAACCAGUCCCUUGCCGUUCACACAAUGGGGAAUGGAUAUUGUAAGGCCACUACCCAUUACCGCCGCCCAAAAGAAGUUUUUGCUUGUUGCCACUGACUACUUCAGCAAGUGGGUAGAAGCUGAAGCCUACGCAAGCAUUAAAGACAAGGAUGUCACGAAGUUCAUCUGGAAGAAUAUUGCGUGUCGGUUUGGGAUCCCCCAAACGAUCAUAGCUGAUAACGGCCCACAAUUUGAUAAUUCCACCUUCAAGACUUUUUGUUCGGAGCUUAAUAUCAAAAAUUUGUAUUAUACGCCACGAUACCCCCAAAGCAACGGACAAACGGAAGCAACCAAUAAAACCCUACUGUCUGCAUUGAAAAAACGACUGGAAAAAACCAAAGGCAAGUGGGUCAAAGAGUUGCCCGACGUCUUGUGGGCCUAUCGGACCACGCCCAAACGACCAAUAAGGAAUACCCCGUUCGCCCUCGCAUACGGAGUAGAUGCAGUCAUCCCAACGGAAAUUGGCUUGCCUACAGCCCAAAUAGCCAUCCAGGGUCAGAGAAAUGAAGACAUGGAACUUGCAAGACACUUAGACUGUGCGGAUGAGACUAGAGAGGCAGCAUCCGUUCGGAUGGCUGCCUAUCAGCAAAAGUCGGCGGCAUAUUAUAACAAAAAAGUGCGACCUCGCGUUUUUAAAAAGGGAUCACUGGUUUUCAGGAAAGUCUUUAAAAAUAUGGUCGAAGUAGGGGCUGGAAAACUCCAAGCCAAUUGGGAAGGACCCUAUGUUGUGUCAAGAACAAGUGAAAAUGGGUCCUAUCAUUUGCAAACAUUAUAUGGAACCCCCUUACUCCGCCCUUAGAAUGUUGCCAAUCUAAAGCAAUAUUAUCAAUGAAAGAGAAAGAAUGAUAGUGCAAUGAAUUUCAUUUAUGAAAAAUGAUGUAAUUAUAAAAUGUCUUUCGGACAAUAUUACAGAAGGAAAGUAUAGCUAAAAUUUACAAAAGAAAAGCUUUCAUUGAGGAGGAUCGCGGCGCAUUUUGUCCUCUUCACCCGGAGGAAUUGAGGGAACAUCUCGCUUGAUGUUGUUUUUCUUCAUGUAGCAACGGUAGCCGAAGAAAUACAUCUCGUCUACCUACUUCUGAUAUUCAGUCUCAAGCUGCUUUCUUUGCACGGUGAACCUAGCCUCUAGCUCUUUCCUUUGGGCAAUCAGGCGUAGUUGUAAGUCCUCCUUUUGCUUUCUCUCAAUCGAUAAUUCAGUCUGGAGCUGUCUUACCUCUCCCCCCAACUGGGCUUUUUCAGACUCAACCUCAUUAAGUCGAUCCCCUAUGGCUUUCUUCCUACUCUUAACCUCCUCUAGCUCGAUCCGGAGGGCUUCUUUGUCAUCUUCAGACCUCCUUAAGGCCUCAGCAUUCUCUGCAGCAGCUUUUUGGGCAAUAGCCAAAUCAAUCUCAGAUUGCUGCAAUUUCAGGCGCAACUCCUCUUUACCGCCCAUGCGAUAGGAGACGAAGGCCUUCAUAUGGUCAGCAACUCUCAACAGGUCUGAAAAAAGCUCACACCGUUGAACCAUGCCGCAAAUGUCGUUCACCAACUGUAGUAGAAAACCCACAAGUGAUGGAUUCACAUAUAUGCCACGCGAAAAACACGUUAAUAUGGCAAACAAGAUCAAGGGAGUGCAGCUAUACCAUUUCCGCAGUUUCAAACAUCUUGGAUGGGGGCAGAUCGACAUUUGAACCAUGAGGUAUUCGCCUCAACAUUUCCUCCAUCUCUGUGCAACUAGGAGGGCAAACAGAAAUUUGGACAAUAUCAUUGGCAGAAUCCCUCUCUGCUGAAUCACUAUUACUAGGCUCCCCCCUUAAAGCCGGACCCGCUUCUUCCUCAACAGGCUGAACACCACCGGACGAAUCAUCAUCCGAGAUGAGUACGGGCCCGGAUGGACUCUCCCUUGCAAUCUCCAGUCGAACCUCUUCCGAAUGCUCCCCUCGAAUGGAUGAGCAGCUCACCUCAAUGGUUUCAUGGAGGCACUGUUGGAGCCUCUCACAAAAUUCGGUUGUUAAAUCGCAAGGAGGGAUUGACCUCUCCAGGGUUGGCUCAUCUACUGGCACAAGUGCAAGGGAAUCCGGUCCACAAGGGGGCGAACCCAGCCUCUCAACGCCCGGUUCUUCUAUAGGAAUGGUCGCGGGAGGAGCUGGAUCAAAGCAGGAGGGCCCGACUUCCUCACCUGCUGGUUUAUUCUCAACCAGCAGCUGCAUGUCGUCCUGAUCAGGGCGAGGAGAGUCGGGCUGAUCCACUGAGGGUUCUUCUUCAACCGGAAGUGCUAACCGCUCAAACGCAGAAAUGGAAGGCCCUGAUCCGUAUUGGCCAGGGACACGUCUGGGAAGGCCUGACUCGCUAGAGGAAGCGAAAGCAGAAGAGGGAACGGGAGAUCGAAUUACAAUUCCCUUAAUAGGAACCAUUUUUUUUUCUCAACCGAAUGUCGAGUCGGAGGAAGUGAAGCAGGGCGCUUCUCACCAGGGGCCCUCCGCAAGGUCCCCUCCUGCCUCUUCACCUCUCUUUGGCUAAGGCGUUCUUGGCAGGCUUGGGCAUCCGCAUCGCGGGCCUCCGUAUAGAAGGAGAGAUCUUGGAGAAUAAAGUGUUCUCCGGACACCACCUUCUUAGGCAGUCGCCUUGGAAUUAUGUUGAGGGUGUACGGUUGGGAUACUUGGGUGACCAUCCAAAGAUUCCGCGCGGAAAAGAGCGUUUGAUAGUUCCUCUCGCCCGCCGCGAUCUCAAACAACUUGUUCAACCGAUUGAACGAAGCUUUUUCCACCCAUUCGACCAAUCAGCCCCUCCUAUCCGGGCCUACACUCACGAAAAUGAAACAUGUUAACAACCUGGCCAAAUUAGCCCAACUUUCAAUACAAAUAGUAAGAGAGAAUACGUUCCCACCUGGAAUCUUCAGUGAUUGGUUGGGAACAAAUUCCUUUUCCCGAUGCUCCAACAAGCCUGCCCAUGAACCCUUAACUAGCACAUGUCCUCUGGCAACCCCUUUGAUUGAAUCAGGAAGGUCGAUCACCAGUUGGAGUGACGGAAUACCGGCGGAUAAGCUGAAGAUAUUGUUUUUCCCCUUCUUGAUGGUGUAAACAAACAGAACUUCCAACAGGGAAAGAUCCAAACUAAACAGCAUAUACAGAAUGUUGCACCCCAUUAGCACCCGGAUUACAUUGGGAUUAAGAAGAGCUGGAGGAAUUCUUGUGUAGUGGAGGAACUGCUUGAAGAUGGAGGGGAGUGGCAGGCGGAGCCCCGCGUUGAACUGGUCCUUGGAGAAAUAUAUAGCAUUAUCCCCAAACUUCUCAGUAGAAACUGCGUCACCCUCCACCAACUGAGCAGACACGCCGUUUGGAAUGUCGAAACGUUCCCAAAAUUCCUGCUCAUUCAGGAGCUCAAUGGGUUUGGCCAGAGGGAGUGCAACCGGACUCGGACCCACCCGGACAAUUUUGCCGCUCUGACCGGUUGCACCAGAAACUACAAUGUCCUUCUUUGGAGGCAUCUUCAGCUAUGUUGUACCUACGUUACACGAAGCCACCCAUUAGAAUGCAGCUACCCAAGCCAAACUCAAAACACAUCACUAAUUAACGCACCCAACCCAGGUAUAUCCUAAGCCGUGAACCCUAAAUUCAUGCGCUAAAUGGCCAACCCUCACCAAAAGAUUGCUUCUCCGUCUCUCCAACCCACCAAGUAAAAACUACCCUUUCCACACAUCCAAGAAAAAGAAAGAAACCCCCUAGAAAAUACUAAAACAACCCCCAUACACCUUAACAACGAUCAACAAAACGCAACCCCAACUAGAUAUUUUCCCCCACAAUAACCACUCUCUCAGACACGAUCGCAUUGUUCCCACCAUCUCAACCAAACUCCCGACCACAAACAAACAACACCAAGAACAAAAGUCAGAAAAAGAGCAAGAAGAGAAUAAACGAACCUUUUGGAGAAUCUCGAAGAUAGGUUGAAAGCCAGUCACCGUCGCCUGAAUCUUUGCUUCUGGGAACGCCGAGAAAAUUUUGGAAAGCUAGGAAUGAAGUGAAAAGUAUCAUCUGAAGGCAUUGGCCCACUAUUUAUAGGGGCAAAGUCCUGAGAAUCCCCAAACGACAGGGAGCCCAAUCGCACUAACUUUCGAAACGACACGCCGCCUGAUGGAGAUUUCAAGGUCGAUGCGCAUCAUAAAUACCCUUUUUGGGAAGCGCCACGCGUCACUACAACCCAAAAGGAGGGCAUUUUUGAGAAAUCAGUAUUUUUAUCCCACCUUUACUGUUCGGGCAAGAAAAGUGGCAUAAAAUGGGGCAUUAUAGGAUCCCUCCCAAAUAUGCCACAUGGCCUCCUCUCGACCAACCACAUGGGCGAACCCCCCUCAAACACGUGGCGUUGCUCUUUCCAUCCGAGAAAUGUUAUCCGACUGACGGUUCACCUUCCUAGGAUACACUUUAUCCGGCACACAACUAUCGACUGACUGGGGCAACUGUUCAACUUUCCCGAUCAAUCCAUGCCAGGAUCCUAAACAUCUUUUGUCCGGGUAAGCCAUCGCCCAGCGAUCCAACUUUCCCAGACAUGUCUUACUCAGAUCAUAUUGUCAUCCGACCAGACUCAUGGUUGCACGGAAUUGAGAAAGUGACUCAAACAGUGCCUUGGACCAGGUCUCCCAAGUCAUCACUCGCUUUCAAUUCAAGACGUGUUUGAUGGGACAGUCACAGGUCUUCUCAAGCCACCUGACAUAUCUUGCAUACCAGUGGCUAUAACUUGAAGUGAUAGAGGCGCCGCCUGAACGCCCCUCUGACAGCCAUCCUCUAGCAUCAGAAAAAAUCAUGAUUGCUCCGCCACCCUAUGUGUCGCAAUCAUGACUAUCAUGGGUUUCACUAGCUCUACAAAGAUAUCCCUUCUGUUUCAUAUAAAAACGGGAAGACAAUUCUUAAGAAGGUAAGCAAUUCAAAAAAGGGAGGAAAAACACUCCCACAAAGACAUUGCUUUUAGUCAAUUUACAAAAGACUAACUUAAGCUUUAGAGGGUAUGUUCGAACAACUUGUCCGAACAUCUUUUGCAGGAAGAAGGAAGGAGCCCAUUCUCAAUUGAUCCGAACUCCAUUUCUGGUGGUUGCAACCGCCACGGUGGGGUGGAAUUUUGUCAUCAACAGGGGUGGCAUUGAUGAAGUCAUUAACUAGGAAGGAAAUCAAAGGAAAGAUGAUUAGAAUGGGAAUAUAUCCAAGGAGGAUCCAAAUAAAUUUAAAUCUAUAUUUUAGGAGUUGAGACUAUUUCUAAAUAAAUUUAAAUGUAUAUUUUAGAUAUUGGAGACUAUCUCAAAUUCUUGUUGGGAUGUUUUCAUGGGCUGAUUAGAAAAUAUUUAUAAAAUGCAAAAUCAUCUUUUCAUAUUUCAAGUCAUAUCAUAUAAACUUGAAAUAUUUAUUGUCCUUAUGUAUUUUCACAAUAAAUCUAGCAUCCGGAUAUUACUUUGUGAAUGUAAAUUUUUAACUUAAGCAAAUAGUACUUUUGACCUUUGAGUGCAUAAAAAUAGUACUAUCUUUAACUAUUCUAUAACAUAAAGAAUGGACACCUUCAUUCUUUGACUAUUAGUACCAUUUAACUAUUACCUUUGAGUGCACAAUGAGCACAAUGAGUAAAUAAAGAACGUUUUAAUGCUUAUAAUUCUAAAACAAAUUUAGCUCACAAUAUAUAUAUAUAUAAGUUAGGAUGCAUUUGAAGUAGUACUAAAAGAAUUUGCAAGUGGAAAAUCAAUACACUUUUAGAGAAGAGCUUUGAAUAUAAGAAAAGAGUUUUUUCUAAUUGAAUUAAGAGAACAUAUUAACUUUUCCUAUAUGUAAUCCAUUUCUUCACAUAAUUAAGAUUAUGAAAUGUGUUAUAUGGGAUCCAUGUAAAGGAGGACUUGCCUUAUGUUGAAAUAUAGUAUUGUUAAUAAUAAUUAUUAAUAUCAAUUUUUGGAUAAUUACAAAGACAAUUAUCAAAAAAAUAAUAAUAAUCUUUAAAAACAUUGAAGAUAACAUCAAAGAGAAUUUCCUAACCUUUAGGACCUCUUUAACUUUUAAAACACACUCUCAAAAUUUGAGAAAAAAUUAUAGAGAGUCCACCUUGAGAAUUUAAGAAACUUUGCAAAUUUUCGAAAACUUGAAGAAUAAGUUUGAACAUCCAAAAAUCAAGUUUGUAGCAUAUUAAAUCCAAGAUCAAGCAUUAACAAUUUUAGUCUAUAUUACUUAAAUCAAACUUAGAUCAAGUCAAGUCAAGAUCCAAGGCCCAUACCUAGUCAAGCUUCUUUUUAGUCAUUAACCAUAAAACAAAUAUAUAUUAUUGUACUUAAUAUUUUAUAAAUUUUAAAAGGUUAAUUUGUUUCAUAUUCUCUAUUCAAGUGAAAGUUGUGCAUACACCAAUGUAUCGAGAGCUAUUUUACAAAUUAAUAAGGGUUAAUUGGUUUCUCAAUCUUCUAUUUAAGAAAAAUUUGUGCGUUCACCAACCAAUAUAUCAAGAGAUAUCUAUGUAAUUAUAAAUUUAUAUUAAAAUUAUGCCAGGUUUUUCUGAUAGAUUAUCUUAUUUCUUUCUAAUAACUAUAAUAUAUAAAUGUUUUUUAUUGUAUAAAAUGCAUAUGGUAUGUUGUUCUUGUAUACUCAUUGUGGAGAAAACAAUUUGAUGAAAUGAUAUGAUCUUACUUUGAGAGGGAGGAUAAUAAUGAGAUGAGAGACAAAACGUAAAAUCAACCCACAAGAAAAUGCAUUAUGGAUUUAAUUAAAAUAGUUCUUGUAAAAAUCAAAGCUAUUUUGCAAUAGGGAUACAAAAUUCUCUAUUUAAGAGAAAUUUGCUUGUAUACCAAUAUACCAAGAGCUAUCCCUGUAAUUACAAUAAUAAAUAAAUGUCUUUAUUUUAUAAAAUGUAUAUUAUAUACUAUUAUUAGCUAUUUAUUGUAGAGAAAACGAUUAGAUGAAAGGAUAUGAAAGUAUCAUGCAAUUCGAUGAGAGGAUUAAAAGUACAAAUAUCAUUUUAGUUAUUUAUACUCUUAAUGUGAUCUUACUUUGAAAAAUAGAACAAUAAUAAAAUGAGAGAUAUAUUAUAAAAUCAACACAUAGGAAGAUGUAUUAUAGAUUUAAUUAAAGUAGUUCCAAGUGAGGACCAAACAUAUUAUGAAAUGGGGAUACAAAGAGAUGAUCAUCUCCAUCUUAUUUAAUUUAUAUAUUGAAAAUAUAUUGUUGUGGAGCUCUUCUAUGAGAGGAGGAAUUUCUUGAACCAUAUAGCUGAAUGCUUGGGGUACCUUUUCAAGCCAUUGUCAUAAUCAACAAAGACAAUACCAAACCUAACAGUGUAACCAAAAUUCCAUUCAUAGUUAUCCAAUAAUGACCAUGCAAAAUAACUCUUCACAUUAACGCCAUCCCUACAAUAGGAAAAAAUAAAAUUACUACACCAUAUUUAGCAUAUGUUUCUUUUAUUUUGUGCUUAUUUUGUGCAAUCAAAUAAUUAUAAAAUUGUUAUAAAUAUACUUACUAUAGUCAAAAUGCAAUCACUCAAAAUUGAGUAAUUGCAAGAAAACUAAAUUCUAGAAAAAAAAAAUUUGUAUAUCAAAAUAAUAAACUCACUUGAUGGCUAAUUGAAGGAAUAGAAGAUGACGAUAGUAGUAAUCUAUCCUUUGCGGGUCCUUCAACGCCUCUUUAAGUGUUAAGGUAUUAUUAUUGACUUCAGUAAUGCCUGAAAAUAGUUUCAAACAUUUAUGUUAAUAGAAUAAAAAUGUAAUAAGAUAAUUCUUUUGAGUUAUAUGUUUCUAAGAUAACAUGUGACUGAAAAGGAAAUUAAGAAAAGGUCAUUAGUCUUACCAUUUUCAGUGAUGUAAAUAAGUGGAUUGUUGUAUUUUCUCUUCACAUAGAGUAAAAGACUCUGAAUUCCACUAGGAUAGACACUAAGCCAACUUGAACCAGUCGGCAGAUACAUUUUUCGUACGCAUAAUUAUGAAAAUGAACCAAUCAAUGACCUUUAUGCUCUAAAAAGAAGUAUACUAUGUUAUAUAAGGGUGAUAAUUCAUAUUAGCGGAUCUUGUUUUGUAUCAUGUUAAAAGUGGAACACUUGACUAAAUAAGUCAAUUCAAAGACGACAUAAAUAAUAAUUGAGUUAAAAAUAUAAAAAUACACAACCUAAUAAAACACAUUAUAUAACAUAUUUAAUCCAUUUGAUAAUUAGAUAUUAUUUAAUAGUCCAAUUGAAUUAGAUUUUGCGAGUCUAUUUAACCCUUGAAAAAAGUGUUGGAUUCGGAUCAUGCUAACAAAUUGUAUCAAACUUUUGUCACCCUAACUACAACUAUCUAUUCAUGCAUAAUAUGACUUUUUCUCAGUGUUAGAGUAACAACUUUUUUGGCCCACAUACCAUUGGACCGAUGGGGAUUCCAUUGCGUUGUGCUAUCAAAUCAAGGAAGAAAAAGAAAAAAUAUUAAUUACAUAGGUUUAUAGUGAUCAUGAAUCAAAAUUUGAGGAAUUGAAAUAAACUUACUGAUGAGAUUAGCAAGAGAAUCUGUAGAGUAGCUCACAUUAACGGUAUUGGCAACAGGAACAUUAGAUGCAUAAUUUGCAGUGUAGUAAUUCAAUCCAAGAAAAUCAAAGGACCUUUUCACUAGCAUAGAUUGCUUAGGGGUGAACUUUGGUAGUCGUGGUCCAACAAGCGUGCGCAUGCUAUAUGGAUAAUCGCCAUAGGUUAAUGGAUUUAUAAACCUAUAUAAGGACAAACAUAUAAUAAUAUUAGUGUAUUAAUUUAUAAUCAAGAGGCUAAUUGUUGAGUAUACAUGUAUAUACUAACCAUCCAAACAUGAAAUCUAGGGCUCUUAUGGCUGCUUUCUUAUCCACUUUCUUGUCAGAGUAGGGUACCAUCCAGUGAGACAACAAUGUUAUUCCAAUCUUCCCCUUUUGAGAUGCCUACAUAGUUUAUGUAUUAGCAUAACAUUUUUAGUUAAUUAAUAACUUAAUAUUAUAGUUCAUAAUUCAUUGAUAAUCCUAACUAUAGAUACACAGACGAAAUGUACUAGACUAUCCGUGAAAUUAAUUUACUAAACACUAUUGCAUACUUACCUGGUAUCUAUCCUGGUACACUUUUACUGCAGCUGCAUGAGAAAGAAGCAGAUGGUGGCCUACCAGGUAAGGCUCAAUGGCAGAGUUCCCAGCUGUGCAUGCUCCAUUAACCCACUUAGAGCAUCGUCCUGGUGCUAAGGUUCCUUGGUCAUAACCACCAUUGCUGUAAGUCCAUGGCUCGUUGAGGGUGAUCCAAUACUUCACCCGAUCGCCAAACUCCUUGAAGCAAAGCUCCGCAAAGUCCCGAAUAUAAUCUCUAUUGGAGAUAUGGUUACAUGUUAUAUAUAUAUCGUGUUCACAAACAAAAAAUUUGCCCCACAAAUGUGUUUGUAUAUAUAUUUAGAUGUAUAGUUAAAGACUCUUUUGUAAAGAUCGGUGAAUAAAGAGGGUUUGAUUCACUUACGUGAUGUGUGGGCUUAAAAAGCCACCAUACGCAUCUUCCAGUGCUUGUGGAAGAUCCCAAUGAAAUAUUGUCACGUAGGAUUGUAGACCUAUGUCAAGUGAUGAAACAUAUACGGAACAAGCUUUUUUAGUGUUUUGAUCCAAAUAGUUCAUUUCUUAGGUUGAAUGUUUGAGUUUGUGGCUUAACUUUUGCAACCUCAAUUGAAGCUUAAUUCAACCGCCUAAACGAACCAAACAAUUCAAACUAACCCCUCCUUUUGCAAGCAUGGAAGGAUACAUUGAAUUUAAAUGAUUUUUACUAAAGCCCAUGCUGGGCCUUAUCUUAUGACAAAGCCCACACACCCACCCCAACCUUUUUUUUGGGCUGAGUCUUGAGCCCACAAGACUAGCUAUGUCUUUACCUACAGUGAGGAUGAUUUUUAUAGGAGUCAUUUAAAUAUAACAAACCUCCACCAAGAGGGUUUGAACUUGGACCUCUGGUACAAUAGUCUACCUAGGACACCACUCAGCUAUAUGCACUUCAUUAUCUAAAAUGCCAAACAAAACAAUAUAUAUUAGAUUUUAAAAUUUUUUAUAAUAUUAAAUAAAAAUAAUAUAAUAUUUUUAAAAUUUUAAAAAUUAGUUUAAAUUUUCAUUUUUAAUAUGUUCACAUUUAAAUAUUAUACAUAUUUCAUUUAAUAAAAUUUAAAAUAAUAAUAUGAUUUAUUUUGAUAAUAUCAAAGAUAUAAAAUAACAUUAUUGAUUUUUAAUUUAUUCAUAUAUAUUUUAAAUUUUUUAUAAUUAUUUUUAGUUUUAAUAAUAUAUAAAUAAAAAUUUUCAUAUUUAUGACAUCACCAGUUCCGUGGUUCGACCAAUGAUUCGACCAAUGAACCGUGAACCGGUAACUUUUCCGAUUCAACAACCGGUCCAAUUCUGAAAAAAUUGGUUCUACUUCUACUCGAGCAAUUUAAUCAUAGAGUACUACAUUUAUAUACUUACUUUGAAAACUCUUUACGAGAUGAAUUAAUCUUAUGUACAUAACUAGUAUGGAUUAACCUACGCUUCAUUCAUGAAAAUUUUGAAAGAAAAGAUAAGGAAAAGAAAAUAAAAAAGAAAAAAAAGAAAAAAAUGAUAAAUAAAUUUGAAGUUAGUAGAUUAUUUUUACAUGUUUUUUUAAAAUCAUUUUACUAUUUUUUUUUUCUUUUAUAUAUAAAGAAUAAGUAAUUUGAAAAUGUUUAAGGGACUUUUCAACAAUGUUUUCAAAACAUUUAUCAAAAAACAAUUUUUCAGAAUUGUUCUUAAAAUGGGUUUCGAUUGUUUUUAUGAAAAAAAUUAUGUUUGAAAACUUUUGUAUAAUGUAAAAGUUUCUAAAGUAUUAUUUACAUUUUUAGUUGUUGCUCAACAUGUUCAUCAAAAAAAAAUUGCAAACAUUUCAAAUCUUGUUUCUUUUUAUGACAUAAUAAAUAAUAUUUUCUAGUACAUAAUAAUAUUUUAUUACUAUAGAUACUGGCAAUAAAUAUUAUUUCAAGGAUUUAAGAUUUAUAAGGAUGUAUUUAUUUAAAAUUUUCUUAACUAUUUGCCUUUUUUAUCUCCUAUUUUCUACUAAAUCUCAUAUCUCUAACAUCCUUUCCGAUUAUUCUAAUUUUUAAAAUAAAAAUAAUAAAUUUGUUUUAAACAUAAAAAAUAAUUUGAUAAUUAAAUUAAUCUAUAAAUAUAAAGCCUUUUUAGCAUGUUUAUUUAUUUUAAAAAAAAUUAUAUUGAUUAACUUAAUAUUUUAAAGAUAAAAAAAUAUAUAUCCAUUUUUCAAUUAAUUUUUAUAAUUUUAAAAAUUGUAUGCAUUUUUUAAUAUAGAAAUUAUUUUUUAAUCAUUUUUUAUUUUUUAUUUUGAUAAAAAAAUUAGGAAAAAAAAAAAUUAACCCCUUUUUCAGACCUACCCCUUACCCUAAUUUUCCAUUUGCACAUUUUUCUUCUUCUUGAGAUCUCUCUCAUCCGUCUAUCUUCUCACAAUCUCUCCCUCUUGUUUAACAUAAUCUACACUCCUCUCUUCCUCUUUCAUCUUAACACCUUCAUUUCCCCACUCCUCUUAUCUCUCACACACACAUAUUUACCCACCUUUGUUACCCGUGUGAAGUUCAAAUUGUAGCAUUGUCACCAUCAACAACACUGUAGUUGAUCAAUUUUCUCAUUUGGGGAAGGAAAUUGGAAAAGAAAAUUUUCAGAACACAAAUUUGAGGGCUUGUGGAUUUGUUCUCUAUGUGGAUUUGGGAUUUGAUUGAAUUUGUUGUAUGAUACAUUUUUUUUGAGGGUUUGUGAUUUGUUAUCUAUGAAUUUUAUUUUUAUUUUUUAUUUUUUUGUCUUCCAUGAUUUUUUUUGUGCUUUUUUUUUCUUCGGUGAACCAGUGUAGAAAAUAGGGAAAAUAACUUGAGAUUGUUGUCUAAAACCACCAAAUUAAAAACACGGAGAAUAAAUUUUAAAACAUAGAAAACAAUUGCCAAACGUGUUUUUGAGUGUUUUUUUUUAUCAAGAACAUAAAAUAGUUUUCGGAAACAGCAACCAAAUAGAAUUCAAGUAUUUUGGCAAAAUGUACAAAAUAGUUGUAAAAAUUGUAAGAUCACUUUUAGUUUUGAAAAAUGACUUGUAAUCACUUGUAGUUUUGAAAAAUUACUUAUAAUCACUUGUAAGUUUGAAAAAUUACCUAUAAUGUUUAUAUAUAUAUAUAUAUAUAUAUAUAUAUAUAUAUAUAUUUGAUAAGUGAUUCUUCUAAAAGCAUUUUUUGAGAAAACACUUCCACUAAAAACAUUCAAGUAAAAAUAUUCUUCAAUGUUUUUAGUAAAAAUACUCUUCAAUGUUUUUUAAGAGUAUGUUUAACAGUAUUUCUAUUUAUAGUGUUUUUAAAGGAAGUAUUGUUUUUUUGUGGAAGUGUUUUUAGAGGAAUUAUUAAUCAAGUGUUUGUCUAGAAAAUAUUUAAAGUGAUUUUUCAACACUAUAAAUGAUUUUUCAAUUUUUAAAAACAUUUCUUAAAAUUUGUCAAACACUUAAAUUUUUGUUUUUUGGAUAACUGAUUAAAAGGAACAAAAAAAACAUAAAAUUACAAAUUUAACCUCCCACUUUUUUUAACAAAAAAAAAAAUACUCACUUUUUUCUUGCAAAAAUAACAUUUUUCUUUUAAAACAUGCAUGUAAAUAAUGAAAAUAUUAAAAGAUAUUUAUGUAAAAAAUUGGUAAAAAAUGGGAGACACUAGUUUUAUAAAUUUGGGAUCUUUCAUCCCUUUUAAUCAAUUAAUAGUUUUUUUUUUCAAAAAUAAUUUUAAAUUAAAAGUGUUUUUUAAAUCAUUGCCUAACGAACUCUAAUCCAUCCUAGCCUAUUGUUGGAGAUAAAUAACUAAGUAAAUGAAAAUUUUACUAAUCAACUCCUAGAAUUUAUCUUUUAGUUUUUCAUUUUUUAAAUAAAUGAGUAUAAAUAUAUUAAAAGAAUUAAAAAUAAUUUUAGUAAAAAAAAAUUGAUAAAUUUGAUUAUAAUUUUAAAUAUACAUUCAUUUGGAUAAAAUUUCACAAAAAAAAAAAAAUAUGUAUAGUGGAAAGAAAGAAUAUUGAUAAAACUACAAAAACAAAAUAUGCAAUUAUAAAAUUUUGAUGAUGAAAUUUAAAAAUAAAAUUCGAAACAAUUCUUGAGUGAGAGAAUUUGAGUGUCGAAAAAUCCUCGAGUGGAAAAAAAAUGGAAAAGUUUUUCAAAAUCACUUGAAAUCCUUAAUAAAAAAUAGUCUUAUACACCCUUAUAUAAUUAGUAAAUUUGUCUUAUACAGUUAGUGUAAUACCCUAGUACAAUAACUCAAAUUUUAUACAUCAUCUCAUGAAUAUCUGACAAUAAGUCGGUUAACCAUAUUUGCAUUGGUUUAGUUUUAAAAAAAAAACAAAAACAAAAAAUUGUUGUAUAAUUUUGUUUUAUAAUCAUCAUAAGUGAGGUACCUAUUAAAAUGAUCAUAUACAAGUUAGAUAAAAUGCAUGAAAUGAAUGCAUGUUUAACCAAUGUGUGUAAGGAAUGUCAUCUAUCCUCGGUUAGGGGAAAUAAACAAACAAGUCUUUCAGAAUCACUUAAAAUCAUUCACAAAUAAUAGUUUUGUAUAUUCUUAUACAAUUAGUAUAUUUAUCAUGUACACUUAGUGUAAAUAUAUUGUACAGUGACUCAAAUUCCAUAUACCCCUACUCAAUAUGUAGUCAUAGGUAGAUUAAUCAUGUUUUCAUUGGUUUGGUUCAAAAAAUAGUGGAAGAUGGAAAAACAAAAUUUUCUCUCAAACAUUAUUAGUGGGAUAAGUAUUCGAAUUGUCAUAUACGAGUUAAGUAAAGGGCAUAAGAUGAGUGUGUAAUAAAAGAAUAUGUACCCUAAGAGUGUGCAAUUCUUAGAUGGCAAGAUAAAAAAAAAAAGUUGUCUAAGAUUGAUUGAAAUAUUUCACAAAGGAUAAUCUUGUAUACUCCUUGUAUAGUUAGAACAUUUGUCUUGUACAAUUAGGACAUUUGUCUUGUCCAAUUGAACAAUUACCUUGUACAGUUAGUAUAACAUCCUUGUACAAUGGUGCAAAUUUCAUCUAUAUGCUUACAUUAUAUGCCACAUAUAAUAAGUUAAUUAAUUAUGGCUUAAUAAGGUUUAGGGAUGUAGUUUUUUUUUUUUUUUUUUUUUUUUUUAAAUAUGUAGAACCAUCCAAACAUGAAAUCAAGGACUCUUAUAGCUGCCCUUUUAUCAAUUUUUUCGUUAGAGUAUGCACCAUCCAAUGGCUCACCAAUGCUAUCUCAAUAUCCCUCCUUUGAGUUGCCUACACAGUUCAUUCAUAAACAUUACUUUCGCUAGUUAAAUAAUUUACCCUACCGAUGAUCAUAAUAUUAAUUUAUUGAUUCAUUGCAUUUAUUGUUAUUUUCCAAUUGUGCCAAUAUCAAUAAUUGGUUUUCAUUAUUACUAAAGAUCUAUCAAAAUGUUGUCAUGUAAAUGUUUUAAAUGCUUUCACAUGGUUCUGGGUUUUCAAAAUAAUUGGUCUUUUAAACAUGAAAGUUGUUUUUUUGGUAAAGACAACUUCAAGAUUUAAUUGAAGUUGUCCCCUCCAAAUAACUUUCAACUAUAUUUGUUUAAAGUGUUGUAAAUUUUAAAAUAUUUUUUAAAUUAUAAUAUUUAAAAAAAAAUUAGAUUACUAUAUUUUUCUCAAAAUCUCCCGCCAAGAAAUGGAGUACUUGACAGUUUUCACACACUCAAAAUCUUUUUGAAUCCAGAAAAAGGCGAAAAGAAAGUGCAAAUAAUUGUAGAGUGCAUAUACCGGAUAUCAAUAAUGGAGAAUGGCUGAAUGGGCUUGUACCUCAGCACUGCUGUUGGUUUUCAAUUACUGAAUGGACUUGCCUUAUGUUGAAAUAUAGUACUAUUAAUAAUAAUUAUUAAUAUCAAUUUUUGGAUAAUUCAAAGACAAUUAUCAAAAUAAUAAUAAUUAUCUCUAAAAACAUUGAAGAUAACAUCAAAGAGAAUUUCCUAACCUUUAGGACCUCUUUAACUUUUAAAACACACUCUCAAAAUUUGAAAAAAAAAAUUAUAGAGAGUCCACUUUGAGAAUUUAAGAAACUUUACAAAUCUUCGAAAACUUGAAGAAUAAGUUUGAACAUCCAAAAAUCAAGUUUGUAGCAUAUUUAAUCUAAGAUCAAGCAUUAACAAUUUUAGUCUAUAUUACUUAAAUCAAACUUAGAUCAAGUCAAGUCAAGAUCCAAGGCCCAUACCUAGUCAAGCUUCUUUUUAGUCAUUAACCAUAAAACAAAUAUAUAUUAUUGUACUUAAUAUUUUAUAAAUUUUAAAAGGUUAAUUUGUUUCAUAUUCUCUAUUCAAGUGAAAGUUGUGCAUACACCAAUGUAUCGAGAGCUAUUUUACAAAUUAAUAAGGGUUAAUUGGUUUCUCAAUCUUCUAUUUAAGAAAAAUUUGUGCGUUCACCAACCAAUAUAUCAAGAGAUAUCUAUGUAAUUAUAAAUUUAUAUUAAAAUUAUGCCAGGUUUUUCUGAUAGAUUAUGCUAUUUCUUGUAAAAAUCAAAGCUAUUUUGAAAUAGGGAUACAAAAUUCUCUAUUUAAGAGAAAUUUGCUUGUAUACCAAUAUAUCAAGAGCUAUCCAUGUAAUUACAAUAAUAUAUAAAUGCCUUUAUUUUGUAAAAUGUAAAUUAUAUGCUAUUAUUAACUAUUUAUUGUAGAGAAAACGAUUAGAUGAAAGGACAUGAAAGUAUCAUGCAAUUCGAUGAGAGGAUUAAAAGUACAAAUAUCAUUUUAGUUAUUUAUACUCUUAACAUGAUCUUACUUUGAAAUAUAGGACAAUAAUAAAAUGAGAGAUAUAUUAUAAAAUCAACACAUAGGAAGGUGUAUUAUAGAUUUAAUUAAAGUAGUUCCAAGCGAGGACCAAACAUAUUAUGAAAUGGGGAUACAAAGAGACGAUCAUCUCCAUCUUAUUUAAUUUAUAUAUUGAAAAGAUAUUGUUGUGGAGCUCCUCUAUUAGAGGAGGAAUUUCUGGAACCAUAUAGCUGAAUGCUUGGGGUAUCUUUUCAAGCCAUUGUCAUAAUCAACAAAGACAAUACCAAACCUAACAGUGUAACCAGAACGCCAUUCAUAAUUAUCCAAUAAUGACCAUGCAAAAUAACCCUUCACAUUAACACCAUUCCUACAAUAGGAAAAAAAAAUAAAAUUACUACACCAUAUUCAGCAUAUGUUUCUUUUAUUUUGUGCAAUCAAAUAAUCAUAAAAUUAUUAUAAAUAUACUUACUAUAGUCAAAAUGAAAUCACUCAAAACUGAGUAAUUGCAAGAAAACUAAAUGCUAGAAAAAAAAAUUUGUAUAUCAAAAUAAUAAACUCACCUAAUGGCUAAUUGAAGGAAUAGAAGAUGGCGAUAGUAGUAAUCUAUCCUUUGCGGGUCCUUCAACGCCUCUUUAAGUGUUAAGGUAUUAUUAUUGACUUCACUAAUGCCUAAAAAUAGUUUCAAACAUUUAUGUUAAUGGACUAAAGAUGUAAUAAGAGAAUUCUUUUAAGUUAUAUGUUUCGAAGAUAACAUGUGACCGAAAAGGAAAUUAAUAAAAGGUCAUUAGCCUUACCAUUUUCAGUGAUAUAAAUAAGUGGAUUGUUGUAUUUUCUCUUCACAUAGAGUAAAAGACUCCGAAUUCCACUGGGAUAGACACUAAGCCAACUUGAACCAGCCUGCAGAUACAUUUUUCGUACACAUAAUUAUGAAAAUGAACCAAUUAAUGACCUUUAUGUUCUAAAAAGAAGUAUACUAUGUUAUAUAAGGAUGAUAAUUCGUAUUAGUGGGUCUUGUUUUGUAUCAUGUUAAAAAAGGAACACUUGACUACAUAAGUCAAUUCAAAGAUGACAUAAAUAAUAAUUGAGUUAAAAAUAUAAAAAUACACAACCUAAUAAAACACAUUAUAUAACAUAUUUAAUCCAUUUGAUAAUUAGAUAUUAUUUAAUAGUCCAAUUGAAUUAGAUUUUGUGAGUCUAUUUAACCCUUGAAAAAAGUGUUGGAUUCGGAUCAUGCUAACAAAUUGUAUCAAACUUUUGUCACCUCUAACUACAACUAUCUAUUCAGCCAUAAUAUGACUUUUUCUCAGUGUUAGAGUAACAACUUUUUUUGCCCACAUACCGUUGGACCGAUGGGGAUUCCAUUGCGUUGUGCUAUCAAAUCAAGGAAGAAAAAGAAAAAAAUAUUAAUUACAUAGGUUUAUAGUGAUCAUGAAUCAAAAUUUGAGGAAUUGAAAUAAACUUACUGGUGAGAUUAGCAAGAGAAUCUGUAGAGUAGCUCACAUUAACGGUAUUAGCAACAGGAACAUUAGCUGCAUAAUUUGCAGUGUAGUAAUUCAAUCCAAGAAAAUCAAAGGACCCUUUCACUAGCAUAGAUUGCUUAGGGGUGAACUUUGGUAGUCGUGGUCCAACAAGCGUGCGCAUGCUAUAUGGAUAAUCGCCAUAGGUUAAUGGAUUUAUAAACCUAUAUAAGGACAAACAUAUAAUAAUAUUAGUGUAUUAAUUUAUAAUCAAGAGGCUAAUUGUUGAGUAUACAUGUAUAUACUAACCAUCCAACCAUGAAAUCUAGGGCUCUUAUGGCUGCUUUCUUAUCCACUUUCUGGUCAGAGUAGGGUACCAUCCAGUGAGACACCAAUGUUAUUCCAAUCUUCCCCUUUUGAGAAGCCUACAUAGUUUAUGUAUUAGCAUAACAUUUCUAGUUAAGGAUUAUAGCAUUGAUAACGAUUUUUCCAUUCUUAAAGACUCAAAUUUUGAUUAACAAUUGGAAAAACUAUUUUAAAUUUUGUUACAUGUUAUGUAAUAGUCCAAAUGCUAAUGAACUUUAUAUGAAUUAAUUGCUAAUCUAUCAUUAAAAACUCAAGUUUUUAGGUUAGUUAAUAACUAAAUUUUAUAGUUCAUAAUUCAUUCAUAAUACUAAGUAUGGAUACACAGACCAAAUUUACUAGACUAUACCUGAAUUUUACUAAAAACUAUUGCAUACUCACCUGGUAUUUAUCCUUGUACACUUUUACUGCAGCUGCAUGAGAAAGAAGCAGAUGGUGGCCUACCAGGUAAGGCUCAAUGGCAGAGUUCCCAGCUGUGCAUGCUCCAUUAACCCACUUAGAGCAUCGUCCUGGUGCAAAGGUUCCUUGGUCAUAACCACCAUUGCUGUAACUCCAUGGCUGGUUGAGGGUGAUCCAAUACUUCACCCUAUCGCCAAACUCCUUGAAGCAAAGCUCCGCAAAGUCCCGAAAAUAAUCUCUAUUGGACAUUUGGUACAUGUUAUAUAUAUAUCGCGUUCACAAACAAAAAAAUUUGCCCCACAAAUGUGUUUGUUUAUAUAUUUAGAUGUAUAGUUAAAGACUCUUUUGUAAAGAUCGGUGAAUAAAGAGGGUUUGAUUCACUUACAUGAUGUGUGGGCUUAAAAAGCCACCAUACUCAUCUUCCAGUGCUUGUGGAAGAUCCCAGUGAAAUAUUGUCACGUAGGGUUGUAGACCUAUGUCAAGUGAAACAUAUACGGAACAAGCUUUUUUAGUGUUUUGAUCCAAAUAGUUCAUUUCUUAGGUUGAAUGUUUGAGUUUGUGGCUUAACUUUUGCAACCUCAAUUGAAGCUUAAUUCAAUUACGAUACUCAUAAGGGUGCAUUUUUGGCCCAACUGCUGGCUUAUCCCAAACCCAUCUAGUGUUGGGCUCUAUCUUAUGUAUUAGUCCAUCCUAAAAUGAUGGUUGGGCCGGUCACAUCGAAGUCCAAUUCCCACCCGAUCUGUUGAUAUCCUAGAUUUAGGUUCAUCAAUGUUGGUGGGUGCAACUCGAACGAGUUAUCUUGGUGGUAGGAAUGGCAACGGGGCGGGUUCGGGACGGGUCGUCCCCAUCCCAACCCCGCCCCGUUUAGCAAAACCAAUUCCCAUCCCCGCCCCGUUUAGCUUUUUUUUUUUUUUUUAAAAAAAACAAUUACUUAAAAAAAAUUAAUUACAUUAAAAUAAAUAUAUUUUAUAAAUAAUAAAAUUAUUAUAUUUUUUAUAACUUAUUUUAUUAAAAAAAUUUAUUAUUAUCUAUAUAUUAAAAAUAAUAAAAUUAAAUUUUAAAUUAAAUUAAUUUUAAAAUUAAAUUAAAUUUUAAAUUAAAUUAAUUUUAAAAUUAAAUUAAAUUAAAAUUUAAAAUUAAUUUUAUAUGUAAACGGGGCGGGGCGGGGUGGGGCAAUACCCGAACCCGCCCCGAACUCGUCCCGGGUUUUAAAAAAAAAUCUCAUACCCGUCCCAAACCCGUUUAAUAAAUUUUAACCCUGUCCCAUUAGGGGCGGGGCGGGGCGGGUACCCAAAAAAACCCGCCCCGUUGCCAUCCCUACUUGGUGGUCAACCCAAACAUGAAAAUUAUUUAUUUAAACUUUAAGCUAACCAAAUUAAUGUUCAAUUUAAAUUACCUAAAUCAAGUUCAACUUAAGCUUAUUUUUCUAAAUGUAAGUAAAAAUUUAGAUUUGUAAUUAGUAUUUGGGUAAAUGAGUAGAGUUAGCUCAAGUUGCAGCCUCAAAUAUGACUAGCUAAUCAUCAAAAUAUAAAGAGAUAAGAGGGAGUAAUGACCUUUUGAUAGUAGUUCAUUGAUGAGAUUGUUGUAAAAGUUGAUACCUUCCUUGUUUACUCCUCCGCUUAGCUUCCCACCUAAGUUACAAAAAUUUAUAUUUGUUCCAAUCAAAAGAAAAUGGAAUAUAUGCUACACCCGUAGGAAUAAAAUGUCAAUUUUCUCCUAAUCAUGUAAUGAAUAAUUUUUAUUAUUAUUAUUAUUAUUAUUAUUGAGAUCUACUUAACUAAAUAGUCAUUCAAGGGUUGUUCUUUUGGGAGACAUUGAUAUGUCAUCCUUAAUGCUUUUCAAUUAAUGGCACAACAUAUUGUCUAGGUUAAUACUAAUUAUAAUUGGAAUCUUUCUUAAAUAUUAUCCUUAAACAAUAUUAACAACGAGCAAGACUUUCUAGAUUUAACAAUAUUUUUGGUGAACUUAGGUCAUUGCUACUCUUUAAUGUUACUUGUUAUGAUGUUAAGUCUGUAAAAAAAAUAUAUAUAUAUAUAAUAUAAGCUUUGUAUGCUUAUGACAGUAAGUCUAAAGAUGAUAUACUAUGAAUUUUUUUUAAAUAACCAUUUCUAUGGCAAACAAAAGUAAUGUCAAAAUCAAUGAUUAUUUAAUUACAUUUUUAUAUAAGAUCAGUUAAUUUAUCAUUUUUAGAUUUUGUUAAUUAACAAUGAUGUCUCUUUUACUAAAACUUAUUUUACUUCAAAUAUAUAUUAAAACUUUUGUUGAUUGCAUUCCACAAAUAUAUAAAUAUGAAAAAAAAUCUCUUGAUAUAUGAUUAUCUUUUUAAUUGUCAUUAGGUGCAAUACCUCUCGGUAUCAAAUUUUUUAUACUUAUAAAAGGAGAUUUAUCUAAUGUGUUUAAUUAAAUAUGUUGUGACGUUGUGAGAGAUGGUAGAUUUGAAAUAGUUAAGAUUUAAUACAUUACUAGUGGGUUGUGACUUAUUAUUGAAAAGUUCAUGAGUUGAUUAAUAGAAACAUCAUGCAGAACCAUCCACCAACAUAUAGGUAGUAGACAAUAUUUACACAUGACAUGAAUUUACUAAUAGUUUAUUACAUUUUUUUAAUAUUUGUUUCAUGUUGAAUUGUUACAAUCAAGGAAGAUAUGAUAUAAAGAAUUUUUUAAACAGAUGAACUGGUAUGACCUUAUUUGCCAUUCCAUGAGACAUAUGAGAUCACCUAAGAGUCAUUUCUAUGGAUUUGUCUCUUCCAUCAUCUAGUCAAAAUUAUGCUUAUUCAAAUCAGGGUUGGAAACUUCACUAGCCAAAGAAUCAACUUCAAUGUGGAAAAAGGGGCAAUGAUUUUUCCUUUUCUUUCCUUAUUUCUUUUUAAAGCUGACUUCUUUGUUGUGUGGGAAAAAAAUAAAAUUAAUUACUAAUUAAAUAUCACAAUUCUUCUAACAUUUUCAUACUUCAUUAAGAAAUCCGAAUAGAAAAUUAAAUAAUUUAUAAAAUUAUUGAAACAAAAAACUUACGAGGCAACACUCUAGACCAAGAUAUUGAGAAUCUAAAAGCGUCCAAUCCCAAUUCCUUCAUUGUAUGCACAUCUUCCUAUUCAAUUUAAAUAUGUUAUUGACAAAUAUCACUAUAAAUUUUAUAAUAUUAACGCAAGGAAAAUGAAAAGGAAAAGAUAAUAUGAGGAAUUUCAUACCUUAUAAUGAUGAUAAAAAUCAUUUGCAACAUCGCCAUUGCUACCAUCUAUUAUUCUUUCUGUAUUAUCAACAUAAAAUAUAAUUAUCUAUUGAUUAGGUUUUAAUCUUAUUUAAAUUAUUUCAACAUGAUUUUAUAAAAUUAUAAUUUAUAUGUUCUUAAGUAAAAGCAUAUAUACAAAUUUAAUAUAUAUAUAAAAUUAAAAAAAUUAGAAAUAUUUCAUCUUUCUAUCUUUAAUAUUAAUGGAAUAAAUUAUAAUAAGGGUAAAAUAUAAAUAUACUAAAAUUUCUAAUUUGAUUAAAUAGCAUAAACAUAGUAUUUAUAAUUUACUAGUAAGAAGACAUAUUCUAACAUUAAAAAAAAAUUACAAUUUAAUUUUAUUUAAUAUAUUAUGUCAUUUUAUUAUCUUAAAAAUUAUUAAAUGAAAAACCAACUAUCCAAACUGUACCUUAGGUCUAAUGUGUAGAAUAACUUAACAGCUAAAUUAAUCCAGUUGCAUGACUGGUAGAUGGGACCAAUGUUAUUUUAAUGUAAUUUUUGUGACACCAGCAUGAAUCCAUCAUUGAGAGAACCCAAUAAAAUCAUUUAUUACAACAAGAAAAAAAUGAAUUUCCAUCAACAUUAAUCAUAUCUUACCAUUGAAUAAUAGUUUGAUUUACAAAUAUGACUGAGAUUGGUUUUUGGUGUGAAUCAGGGAGUUCAAUUUUCUCGAGAAAUAAAAGGUAGAAAAAGGGGACAGGUGAUUGCAAGCCAACUGGUCCAACACAAAUUCAAAAGAUUUACAAACACUGGGUAUGGUAAUGAUGGGUAGCCACCCUACCCUAUAAGAAUAAACGGAUUAAUUUAUCCUACUUCCAGCCCAAAUUAAAUAAAAAAUUAUUUUAAUAUGAUAUUUUCAUUUUCUUAACUUAUAUAAAUCGAAAAAAAAAACUACUUUUCAUAAAAAUAAUUAUAAAAUUUAUAAUAUUUAUUUGUUUGUAUAUUAUAUUUAUUUUUAACAUAAUUUUAAGAAAUAAAAAACAAAUAAGAUAGGUUUUUACAGCGAUUUAUCCUAUCCUCUUUCAUUUGUUAUUAUUAUUAUUAUUAUUAUUUGGGACAAAGAAUCACAUCCCAUCUUAUUAUGAUCCUUAGUAAUCUCUCCUAGACGCAAAACUCAAAUAUUUCAAAUGUUCUUUUUUUUUAGAAUUUUCUUUAGAAAAAAAAUAAAAAAAAAAUAUUAUUAUUAUUAUUAUUAUGGAUUUUUAGUUUUAAAACUCAAAUGUUAGCCCAAACCCUCAAGCUUAAAUACAAACACAAUUAUUAUAAACUUUUUGUAUGAAAAGAAGUCAUGAAAAUCAACUCAAAGAGAGACCGGGGUAUUUAUGACUGAAAGUAUCCCAUAUACUUGGACCUCUGCCACCUUCUUUUGCCGCACCUUCAUACUGAAAAAUCCAUGCAUACAUCACAUUAACAUACAAAAAUAUGAAUAUGAUAUGAUAUAGAAUAUGUAGUAUACAAAAAUUCAAAUUUGAAUAUUUGAAAUUCAUGGAAAAAAAAAAUGAAUUUAGGUUGAAAGAAAUGAAAUUUAGGUCUAAAGCAAUCACACCAUGACAUGGUACAAAUUAAAGAGAAUUUUUUGACAAAAAUAUCUCCUUACCUGAUAAGAAGCCGAGGCUGUUCCAAAAAUGAAACCGGCCGGAAAACUACUCCGAUUGAAGGAGGCAGCUUUCACUGGUUCAGUCCAAGCCAAUGAGCUAACCAAGAUCAGUAGGCCUAGAAGCAAUGAGCACUGAUGAGCUGCCAUGAGAUGCUGUGGUUUGAAGGUUCAUCUUCACUCCCUUUAUAUAGAUCUAAAUUGAGGAAAUCAAUCAACUGAUGUCAUGACAUUUUUUACUAUAAAAUAAGGUUUUAUUAUCUAUAUAUAUAUAUAUAGACUACCUAAAACUGUUACUAUAUAAUAACAAUAAAAAGGAAAAAAAAUAUAUUUUUUCUCUUUUAAAAUUCCAAUUGCAAACAUUGAGCUUGAGACUGGAACCCCUUUAUUUAAUUUAUUUUGGAUAAGAAGAUAAAAAAGCUUGAUUUCAAGACUUAUGUCUACUUUUGGCCAAUCAUGCAGAAAGUUAGCACUUCAUGUGGCCUAAUGACAUCUUAUUGGAUCUGGAAUUGACCCUAGUGGGACCAUUGAAAUCCCAAGUUUUAAUAUCUGUCUGUACGAUUUCUUAUAGCAACAGAUCAGAUACAGUUUUGUAAUAAAAUAUUGUUUUAGGGCAUGUGAAGCUUUGUGAAACACAAGCUGCAGCUGGCAGUAUGAAAAGUUUCAGGGGAGAAUUGUGUUUUGGGCGGCUGGCCCAAAAAUUAGUAUCAGUUAAUAUAUCUUACAUAAUUAAGUCCAAUACUUAAAAAAUUAAAAAAUAAAAAAAUAAAAAAUAAAAAAUAAAAAAUAAAAAAUAAAAAAUAAAAAAUGGUUUAAAAAUUAAGAAGAAAGAUAUUAUUUUUCAUCUAUUUCUAAAAUACCUUUAAUUCUUAUAUAGGCGAGUGUAAAUUUUAAUUUUUUAUUUUUUUUCUUUUCUAUUCCUUAUUAAAUAUUAUUCAUUUCUAAUUUUUUUUUCUUCUAAUCUAUAAUUCUAUUUUAUGUCAAAUAAAAAUCAAUAAUAUUUUUUUUAUUUUUUAUUUUAUUUUUGAAGAUAUUGAAUCUUUUUACUCUUAUUAUAAAUAAGGAUAAAAAUUUUGAGAUUUUUCAUCCAAAUAUUUUUUAUCUUUUUGUAUUUAUCUUUUAGUUUAAUUUAAAUUUUUUAUUUUAAAUUUAUAGUACCAUUUCAUUUAUACUUUUAUCUUAUUUUUAAUUAUUUUUUAUAUUUUCUACAUUAACCAUAUUUUAAAUUUUUUUAAAAUUGACUAUCACUUCACUCUUAUUAUAUAUAUAUAUCCUUUUAGUUUUUUAAUUUGUAAUGUUUUUAUUUUAAAAUUUUUUAAAAGAUAAAUUUAUUGAAAAAAAUAACUAAGAUAUGAAGUUCUAAUAUUAUAUUAAUAAUUUUUUUUUAUCUAGAUAGACUAAUGCAAAGUAUUUUGACUCUCAAUAAGAAAAUUAUCAAUACAAUUUUUUAGUGAAACUUUAUAAAUUAAAUUUCAAAUAAAAUAUAUUAUAUAAAAUUUUAUCCAAGAAUUAUUGACAGUGAUAUUUAAUUUUUUUUAUUGACUUUCUAACUUAUCUAAUUUUUUACUUGAAAUGUAAUAGAACAUGUUUACAAAAAAAUUAGUUUUUCAUUUUUUAAAUAAAUGACUAUAAAUAUAUUAAAAGAAUUAAAGAUAAUUUUAGUAAAAAAAAUUGAUAAAUAUGAUUAUAAUUUUAAAUAUAGAUUCAUUUGGAUAAAAUUUCACCAAAAAAAAAUAGUGGAAAGAAAGAAUAUUGAUAAAACUAUAAAAACAAAAUAUGCAAUUACAAAAUUUUGAUGAUGAAAUUUAAAAAUAAAAUUCGAAACAAUUCUUGAGUGAGAAAAUUUGAGUGCGGAAAAAUCCUUGAGUGGAAAAAAAAUGUGAAAAUUUUUCAAAAUCACUUGAAACCCUUAACAAAAAGUAGUCUUAUACACCCUUGUAUAAUUAGUAAAUUUGUCUUGUACAGUUAGUGUAAUACCCUAGUACAAUAACUCAAAUUUCAUACAUCAUCUCAUGAAUAUCUCACAAUAAGUCGGUUAACCAUGUUUGCAUUGGUUUAGUUUAAAAAAAAAAAACAAAAAAACAAAAAAUUGUUGUAUAAUUUUAUUUUAUAAUCAUCAUAAGUGAGGUACCUAUUAAAAUUAUCAUAUACAAGUUAGAUAAAGUGCAUGAACUGAAUGUAUGUUUAACCAAUGUGUGUAAGGAAUGUCAUCUAUCCUCGAUUAGGGGAAAUAAACAAACAAGUUUUUCAGAAUCACUUGAAAUCAUUCACAAAUAAUAGUCUUGUACACUCUUAUACAAUUAGUAUAUUUAUCAUGUACAUUUAGUGUAAAUAUUUUGUACAAUGACUCAAAUUCCAUAUACCCCUACUCAAUGUGUAACCAUAGGUAAAUUAACCAUGUUUUCAUUGGUUUGGUUCAAAAAAUAGUGGAAGAUGGAAAAACAAAAUUUUCUCUCAAACAUCAUUAGUGGGAUAAGUAUUCGAAUUAUUAUAUGCGAGUUAAAUAAAGAACAUAAGAUGAGUGUGUGAUAGAGGAAUAUGUACCUUGAGAGUGUGCAAUCCUUAGAUGACAAGACAAAAAAAAAAAAAGUUCUUCAAAAUUGAUUGAAAUAUUUUACAAAGGAUAGUCUUGUAUACCCCUUGUAUAGUUAGAAUAUUUGUCUUGUACAAUUAGAACAUUUGUCUUGUCCAAUUGAACAAUUAUCUUAUACAGUUAGUAUAAUACCCUUGUACAAUGAUGCAAAUUUAAUCCAUAUGCAUAAUUAAUUAUGGCUUAAUAAGGCUUAGGCAUGCAAUUUUUUAUUUUUUAUUUUUUAUUUUUGAAAUAUGUACAACCAUCCAAACAAGAAAUCAAGGGCUCUUAUAGCUGCCUUUUUAUCAAUUUUUUCGUUAGAGCAUGUGUGGACCCGCAUUUUUCAUGUGCGGGCCACUCGAUCGGCGAGACUCGUUUUUUAUUAUUUGUGAAAAAUUAAUUUUUUGAAAAAAAAGUUGGAGUCACCACUUAUUUUAUUUUUAUUUUAAAGAUAAAAUAAAACAAGAAAUAAAACUCUAAAAAAUGACUCCAUAAUUUUUGGAAAAGCGUGUCUUUGAAAAACUCGAGUCUAAGUCCGGGAAUCAGGUUACCUAUUGGGAAGAUACCUUUAAAAGGUAGCACCCUUCUAAGCCCUAUAAAGAUCUCUACUAACUAAGUUAAGGGGAAUGUGGCAAUUAAUCGGUUAAUUAUGGAUACCUAAGUAGGCUAGGUGGUUCCAAAAAAUAGCAUGCCAAACAAGAUCAAAUCACAAUAAAGGAAGGUUAGGAUGCGUACCCGGACCACUUCUCAAGCGCUAUCAUAAAACAUCAAUGGUUAAUUUAAACAAUAUAUCAUUCAACAUGUAUUUUAUUAGAAAUAAUCAAACAAUGAAACAUGUAUAUCGGAACACUCAAGCAUUAUUAGACAUAGGCAUUAUUUCACAAUGACAAGCAUAUUCACAGAAUUCAGAAAAUAGGUGAUAGAGGACAUACAUGGAUAGCAUAGAUAACUUACAAUGCGCUUCCAUAAGACAUGAGGGAUUAGAUAAUAAUAAAAUAAAGAAACCCUAGCAUGCUUGUUAUCUAAUUAGCAUAAAAAAAUUAUCAAAGUAUAUGAAAACAUUAAUUAUCACACACAUCUUGUAUACAAUUCCUAAAAAAGAUAGACAUAAUUUCAACAAGUGACAAAGAUGGCAACAAAAAUAAUUUUUGAAAAGAUUUUCUUAUGUGGGGGUUUCACCAAUUCCCCAAAUUAAUAUACAUGAAUUUAGCCCAGAAUUAUCCCAUUAUUUAGGAUCACAAGCUUUGAUUCAUGUUUUUGUUCAAAACCAAACUUUUUGUUGAAAACCGAUAAGGAUGCAAACCGAACAAGAUAUGGUUGCAUAUUAUUUUUAAAUAAAAAAAAUUUGAUCCUGAGGACUCUAAAUGAGUUUUUGAAAUAGAUUUUUAAAAUGAUUUUUUGAGAAAAGUAUUUUAUUUUAAAAUAAAAGGAAUUAAUUUGAAAAAAAUAAAAUAUAAGAAAUAAAAUACCAAGGGAAAUAGAAGGGAACAAAUUCACAAAAUAAAGAUUUUUUAAAAAUCAUGUAAACUAAAGUGGUGAGAGUAGAGACCAAUCUUCAUUAUUGUCCGAUGGCCUCUAAAUAGUGAAUUUUGCAAGAGACUACCAGAGUAACGAACUAUUCAAACUUAGAUCAAAUGAGCUAAUGAGACAUUCAUCAAAAAUUAAAGACUAGUAUUCAAGAAGUACAUAAAUUGAGCAUAACAAUCAAGAAUUAACAUAAAAUUGGCUAAACACACAAGUACACCUAAAUUUAAAAAAUAAAAAUAAUUCGAAACUAUACUCAAUUAGAAUUAAAAACAUAAGCUUUAUGUGAUGGGAUUAAGUAAACUGUUGGAUUAAAAUCAUUAACAAGAUUAAAACUAAGCUAUGCUAUAAUUUAAGACAUAAGUUUUAUUUAACAAAAAUUAAUUAAACUAUUAAAUUACAACCACAAAUGCAUCCAAACUAAAAAAAGAUAAAUUAUAACAAAACUAAAUCAGAAUUAAAAAUAAAUAAAUAAAUAAAUAAAAUUUUUCUAAUCAGAUUAUUUUAAACUAAUGAAUUAAAAUCAAUAACACAUUUAGACUAAAUCAUAAAUCAAAACUAAACUAAUUCAGGAUAAAAAAAACGUAAAUUUUAUUUGACAAUAUUAUUUAAACUAAGGAAUUAAAACUACAAACACACUCAGAACAAAAAGGUAGGUUAAAACUGAAUUAAUUCAGAAUAUAAAUCUUAUCUAACAGAAUUAUUUGAAGUAAUAAAUUAAAAUUAUAAACAUAUUUAAACUAAUAGAUAAAUUAAAAAUAAACUAAUUUGGGAUAAUAAAAAAUAUGAACUUUAUUCAAUAUGAUUAUUUAAAGUAAAGAAUUAAGAUCAACAAAAUACAUUUAAACUAAAAACGAAUUGAAAUCAAACUAAUUGGGAUUAAAAAUACAAACUUUAUUUAAUAUGAUUAUUUAAACUUAAGAAUUAAGAUCAACAAAAUACAUUUAAACUAAAAAAACGAAUUAAAAUCAAACUAAUUGGGGUUAAAAAUACAAACUUUAUUCAAUAUGAUUAUUUAAACUUAAGAAUUAAGAUCAACAAAAUACAUUUAAACUAAAAACAAAUUGAAAUCAAACUAAUUGAGAUUAAAAAUACAAACUUUAUUAACGUAAUUAUUUAAAACAAAGAAUUAAGAUCAACUAAUGCAUUUAAAUUAAAAACGAAUUGAAAUAAAACUAAUUGGGAUUAAAAAUACAAACUUUAUUAACGUGAUUAUUUAAAGUAAAGAAUUAAGAUAAAAAAGAUACAUUUAAACUAAAAAACGAAUUGAAAUCAAACUAAUUGGGAUUAAAAAUACAAACUUUAUUUAACGUAAUUAUUUAAAGUCAAGAAUUAAGAUCAACAAAAUACAUUUAAACUAAAAACGAAUUGAAAUCAAACUAAUCGGGAUUAAAAAUACAAACUUUAUUAACGUGAUUAUUUAAAACAAAGAAUUAAGAUCAACUAAUGCAUUUAAAUUAAAAACGAAUUGAAAUCAAACUAAUUAGGAUUAAAAAUACAAACUUUAUUAACGUGAUUAUUUAAAGUAAAGAAUUAAGAUCAACAAGAUACAUUUAAACUAAAAACGAAUUGAAAUCAAACUAAUUGGGGUUAAAAAUACAAACUUUAUUCAAUAUGAUUAUUUAAACUUAAGAAUUAAGAUCAACAAAAUACAUUUAAACUAAAAACAAAUUGAAAUCAAACUAAUUGGGAUUAAAAAUACAAACUUUAUUCAAUAUGAUUAUUUAAACUUAAGAAUUAAGAUCAACAAAAUACAUUUAAACUAAAAAAACGAAUUGGAAUCAAACUAAUUGGGGUUAAAAAUACAAACUUUAUUCAAUAUGAUUAUUUAAAACAAAGAAUUAAGAUCAACUAAUGCAUUUAAAUUAAAAACGAAUUGAAAUCAAACUAAUUGGGAUUAAAAAUACAAACUUUAUUUAACGUGAUUAUUUAAAGUAAAGAAUUAAGAUCAACAAAAUACAUUUAAACUAAAAAACGAAUUGAAAUCAAAUUAAUUGGGAUUAAAAAUACAAACUUUAUUUAACAAGAUUAUUUAAAGUAAAGAAUUAAGAUCAACAAGAUACAUUUAAACUAAAAACGAAUUGAAAUCAAACUAAUUAGAAUUAAAAAUACAAACUUUAUUCAAUAUGAUUAUUUAAACUUAAGAAUUAAAAUCAUUAACAAACUUAAACUAAAAGAUAGAUUGGAAUUAAACUAAUUGGGGAUUUAAAAAGAAAAUAAUAUAAACUUUAACACAAAGAAUUAAUCAAAAACUAAAAUUUCCAAAAAAAAUCUAGGCUAAAUAAAAGUACUAUAUAGAAAACUAACCUUUGAAGUGAAAGAGAAAAUCCUCUCUUGAUGAUUAAAUGGCAGCCCGAUCUCCGUUCAAAGUCCCUUGUUUUUUUUCCAAAAUUCCAUGUGUUCUCUUUAAAAAAAAAAAAAAAAUCUGCUUUAUGUUUGAAUCUCUAAAAAAAAACCCAUUCUAAAAAAUUCUUAUUGUUCUCUCUAUCCCCCCAAAAAAUAAAAAUCUCUAACUUUUUUUUUUAAUCUCAUGAUGGCAGUCUACUCCUUAUAUGGCUGUGAGAGAUUCCCCAUUUUUUUCCUUCUUUUUCCAAUCUUCCCAUUCAAAAACAAUCCUCCUAAUUUCAAACUCCCUCUCCAAAACCUUCCAAGGAGAGUCUCACUUUUCUUAAACUUCAAUGGUAAGUUUCCUUGCAAAAACAUGAAAUUUUUUUUAAUUAAAUAAUUAAAUGAAUAAAUAAAUGAGUAGAUAAAUUAGAAAAAGGUAAAACAAUAAUAAAUAAAUAAGUUAAUUAAAAAACUAAGAAAAAUAAUAUAAAAAGGAAUAUAACAAAUAAAAAUAAACAAGUGAUUGAUAAUAAUAAAAAUGAAACUAAAAAUAAAAAUAAACAAAUAAAUAAAAACUGAGCCCCACAAGCCAUGCAACCAUGCAAGUCAUAUAAGUCACGCUAAAAAUGUCAUAAUGGGCCAAGUGUGCCUAAAUGGGCCAAGGGUGCCUAAGUGGGCCUAAGGUGCCUAAGUGGACCUAGGGUGCCUAAAUGGGCCAAGGGUGUCUAAGUGGGCUUAGGGUGUCUAAGUGGGCCUAGGGUGCCUAAAUGGGCCAAGGGUGUCUGAGUGGGCUUAGGGUGCCUAAAUGGGCCAAGGGUGUUUGAGUGGGCUUAGGGUGCCUAAAUGGGCCUAAGGUGUCUAAGUGGACCUAGGGUGCCUAAAUGGGCCUAGGGUGCCUAAGUGGACCUAGGGUGCCUAAAUGGGCCUAGGGUGCCUAAGUGGGCCUAGGGUGCCUAAGUGGGCCUAAGUAGACUACCCUGAAAGCUAUCCUAAAAAUGAAUGAAAAGUCUAAGUCUAAAAUAGGGUUGCCAAGGAUCACAAUAAGGGGUCAGAUAAUCCCUCAACCAAAGUCUCCAAGGUGACUCAAAAAAUGGUAAGUUAUACGAAUAAUAAUGGGCCACCAGGAAACUACUAUGGGGCAUUUGAAACGAAUUUAAAGACAUGUGCUAAAGGGAUAAAAUUGAGGGUCUACAGUAGGCACCAUCCAAUGGCUCACCAAUGCUAUCUCAAUAUCCCUCCUUUGAGUUGCUAUAGAUUCCCAUUUCUUUUGACUCUCAGCUUUUUCCCGCCACCUUUGAGGAAUGGCUGGGGGGGAUGGCUUGGAGGUUGAGCUGCAGGGGACGCAUGGCUGUGAAGGUGAUUGUUGCCAUGGUGGUGGUUAGGGCUCCAGAAAAUGUUGAGCGAUGAACAGGGGAGUGGUUAGGGGCUUCCAGGUGAAGACCAAAGAGCUCCAGAGAAAGGGGGAUUUUUUUUUUUUCCAGGUAGCCUAAGGGAAGCUGAAAACAAAAGCUUGAGGGAGGACAGAAAAGGAAGAGGUCUUUAUUUUUUUUGGAAGGAGAGAGCUAGGUAAAAGAGAAGGAGUGGCUCGCCAGGUAUGUUUGAUGUUUCCGUUGACUUCUAUGCUGCUCAUAUGCUUACCAUUUUUUUUUUAUUGGAUUUUAUUAUUCAUGCCAGUUUCGGAUUGAGGUUAUUGAGGCUCAGUUCUGGCUUGCUCUAUUUCAUAUUGAUUGUUUUUCAUUUGAAUCUGCUAGUGUUCGAUUAUUUAUUUAUUUAUUUAUUUUAUUUCUUUCCAUUUUCGUAUGUUUGUUCUAUGUUCUUUUUCUCCUUCAAACUCUCCUCCCAUCUUCAUACCCAUUACCAAUCUCCUCCUCUGAACCCACACCGAACUCAGUCUCACUCGCCGUCAAGAUGAUGUUUAAAGGGAUUGUUUCUCAUGCAAAAUCUGGGGUGAAACUUAAAGCUUUUGAGGGAAAAUUUAUGGUGCGGCGUCGAAGACCGAUAAGUUGACGCUCAAGAAGACAGAGAUGCUGGCUUUGAUUCUGGUUCAAAUCCCAGUUAAGGAGUUUCCACAGACCAUUCAUUUGGACUGUAAAUCCUGGUGGUCCAUCAUCGCUGAACCCCACUGCUAGUUGGAUACCGAUGUAAAAAAUUGGUGUUGCCAUUGGAAACGCUUCAACUGAGUGGACUCGUUCAUCCGCAAACUCAUGCACCGCAACCGUGGAAUGUGCAAGAAGCUCUCUGCUUACAGACUCAGCGACCUCGACUCCGCUUUUGCUACUAAUUGGGUGAGAUGCGUUAAGGUGUUGCAAAUUCCAAUGAGUGAGGUCUCAAACAAAGGCUGAAGCAAAAACAAAUAAAUAAAUAAAUAAAAUCAACAAAGUAGUACAUAACCAAUUAUAAAAUAUAUGAAGCCUACAGACACCAUUAACAUUGAUGGACCCAUUUUUUUUUUUAUUAAAUGCCCUCAUCUCUUUCUUAAUUUCCAAAUCACAUUUUCAAAUACUAAUUUUUAAAACUUAGGUUUUUAAAUCUAAUUUCCAAAAUCUCAAUUCUCAACUAAUUUUUCAAAAAUUCCAAAAUGUUUUCAAAUAAUUUUUAAAACUCCAAUUUCUUUCAAAAAUUAAUUUUUAAAACUCCAUUUCUUAAAUUUAAUUUUAAAAAUUCCAAACUCUCAAAUAACUUUUAAACUUCCAUUUUCUUUCAAAUUUAAUUUCUAAUUUUAAAAUUUAAUUUUCAAAACUCUCAUUUUCGAUUUUUUUUUAAAUGUCAAUCUUUUUAAAUUUAAUUUUUAAGACUCCAACUUUCAAAUGUUUUUUUUUAAUUCCAUUUUUUUAAAAUGUAAUUUUUAAUGAUUUCAAUUUUCAAAACUCCAAUUUUCUUUCAAAUAGUUUUAAUUCUGCUCCAUUUUUCAAUUUUUUUUAAUUCACAAAUUUUCUUUGAUUUUCAAUUUUUAUUUUAUUUAUUUAUUUAUUUUUUAAAGCAUGAAUGAAUUUUUCAUAAUUCCAAACUAAUGGAAUUUGUGAGAUUAAUUCAUGCAAGAUCAAUCAGGCUUUGGUGGAGGCCCUAAAUAUUAAGAUUUCUAUUCUGAUUAUUAAUUGAUAUGCCUAAUAAAUAUUGUUUGAUUUUUGUUCUGAUCUUUGACACGUAUGUGAUAAUUUUACACUUGAGCUGACAUCGUUUGCAUGAUAGCGCACUAUUAUUGAGCAACAAUUAUAUGUAUUUUACACUUGAGAUGAUUCAUGUUACAUCAGUACAUAGGAAGAGUUUGUCCAUUUGGCUAUGUAUUUCAUGGGAGAUCAGUCAUUAUUGAUCAUAGUAUGCGCACAAAAAAAAAAAAAAAACAAAAAACAAAAAAAAAAUGAAAUGAUAGCGCAUUUUUCAUUUUAUUAUUCUCCAUUGGGCAUGUGUAUAGACGUGCUAGUUCGCUUCAUUGAGUUUAUGUGUUAGAGAGAGUUCGUAUGGGAACUUCUUCCUGAGAUUCUAUUUUAUUAUAUGUUAUGGGUGAUAGUAUGGAUCGCCUAUUCGAUUUUUGUGAGAGAGACGAGCGAUUUUUCUUUAGUAUCUUUGGAUCCUUGCUCUAUCCAUCAUUCUAUCUAUUUCGGAUGUGACUACUUUCCAUGCUUUGAUGCAGGUUGACCAUCACUCAUUUUUCUAUCUCUUUGCCUUUUUUUAUCUUUGUUUUAUUCCUCUAUUUCACUCUACCUCAUCUGAUUUCUUUCUUUGCUCAUCCUGUUCGAUGUUUGACUUGGGUUCAGCGUCCACACAUUAUACUUUCUUAUUUGACAUGUUCAUUCAUUUAUCAUCACUUUUUGUGUGGGCAUCCCUAGGUUCGGGACUCAUGACUUUUUCUACGCAUUGCAUCUCAUGCAUGAGGGGUAUGAGGAUUAUAUCAUUAGGAUCUUUAAGCCUAGUUUCCUUUCGUUUCCUUCACCCUAUUACCUUAGCCUAUGUUAUGUCCCGUGUCUUAAGACCACCUUGAGGUCAUGACUUCGCACAUUGUACUUGACAACUCACACAUGGGCUACACUUGAGAUUGGUCGGAGAUCAUUUCUUAGAGCAUGAUGGAUGAGGAGCUAUGAUAUGAUUUACACUGGGGCAUACCUCUCUUAUUAGUGAUGGAUUUUCGGAGGUGAUGUGAUCUACACUAGGGCAUACCCCGCUCAUCGAUGACAUUUUCUUUCGAGAUGAUGCUUUGCACUGAGGCAUAGUUAGUUUGCUUCUUCAUUUGGUUUAUGAUGGAUUGAGAGUUGUGGGAUGACCCUACACUGGGACAUAGCCAUUUCAGAGAGCGUUUUUAUUGGAGAUACAGUCAUUCUACUCGAUACUUUACAUUGUGACACACUCCUCUCAUUGAUGGUUGUUUUUUGAGAUGACGAUUUAUUUUGAGGCAUAGCCCUCUCAUCGAUGAUGGACUUUGAUUUAUCUUGGAGCAUAGUUGGUUCAAAUGGUUUAUACUGGGGCAUAGUCAGUUCAUUCGUACUCAUAAAGCUCAAAGAUUCUGAUUCAUAUGGAUUAUGUUGAGAUGUUUCCAUUUUUAGCAUCAGGAGUAGGGAUUGAUUGAUUUGCUCACCCAUACUAGGUAUGAUCUUUCUCAACAGUUGUUGACUCGAAUACAUUACUUUACACUGGGGCAUAGCCGGGAUGGAGAGUAUUUUUCAUUGGAGCAUAGACGCACUAUUAGAUCCUUUACACUAGGGCAUAUCCAUCUUUUGGAGAUAUAUCAUAUUGAUUCUUUACAUUGGAGCAUCUGAUGGGUGAUAUGGAGAUCAUUGGAUUAUUUCAUGUUGUCCUCAUUGCAUACUGAAGCAUAGCCACCUAGUUAAAUGUUUUGAUAUCAAGACUUGACUUUCUGUUUGUGAUUGCUGCUUUCGAUAGAUUAUGGAGCUAUUGACACCUUGGGUUUAGUCUUCUCGACAUACUUGGAUGAUCUCAGAUACUUACAUACCUUUCAUUUCAUACUUAGACAUUUCACCCUGGAUACUUUCAUGCCUUCUAUCUUACCAGAGCUUGAUCAUUACUUUCUUUUAUCCUACACAUCCCAUCCUGACAUAUGACCUCAUCCCUAUCUCGAUUAGGAGGAGACAUGGAUCAGUCCUCGAUCAUUUUGGUUGUGCUUUCAUACAUCUUUCGGACUUUAGGUUCAAUAUCUUCCAUGAUAGCAGGGCUUGACAGAUUGUUGACUUAUUAGUGACGAUGUUUUCACUUCGACAGUUGGCAUGUUGAGUGUUGAUUUGUUUGCACUUUGCAUUUUGAGUAUGGAUCAUCACUGUUUUAUUCAUCAGUUAGUCUUGUUUUGUUAGCAUGGUCUCACAAUACGUGGUCUUGUUUGGCAUUAACUAAAUGGGGUUGGACAUUUUCAUUACAUGAUGGAUGAGCAUAUUUCAGAGCAUAGUAGUUUUGAGGCAUUGUGUAUCCCAGUUUGUUCACUAUCACAUACUGGGGCAUACCCCCCAUUCUCCGAGGGCAUCGGACCUUCCAUAGGCUUCAUUCACCUUUUGAUUUAGUGGUUGACCCUUACGAGUUGCAUACUGGGACAUACUCUCAUUCCUUAGGAUCAUCAAACCUUUCCUGGCCGUUGGUUUCCUUUGACUUAGUUGGCGAUCCUCCUGAGUUGUCAUACUGGGGCAUAUUGACCGAAAUUUCUCUAUUGUACCAAAAUACUUAGCCUUUUUACGUAGUAACUCUGGUCAAGAAAAACUAGAGAAAGAGUCACUACGGCUUUUGUAGUAUUCCGGGUAUCGUUCUCAAGGACUGGCUUAUGAAAAUUGUCAAUACUAGAAUAAAUGAAUUGUUUUUGUUUAAAUCCUUAAGUGAAAAACAAUAUGUGAAUAAUGUGAAACUAAGUAAAAUAAAUUGGAUUAAUAAGAGAAAAUGAAUAUCGAUUUUAAAUUCAAUUGAUUCAAGUUUGGGGUUUUCCACAAUCCAACCUAGGGUAUAGAAAUUAUAGAAAACAAGGGUAUUUUAAGUAAUAUGAUCUUAGGGUUUUGGGAUCCUUGGCCACUCGCGAUCAAGUUGGGUUCUAUAACUCAAAAUUGCAUCCGAAACCUAAUUUUUCCUUUUUCAAACAGAUUCCUAAAACCAUCAAAUGAAUGAGAUUGAUUAUCAAUUUAAGAUUUGGCUUUUUAACCCUUCCUACUCCUUAUAGCUUUGUUUAGGGGCAAAUAACGGUAGGGAAAACGAGGAUAACUAAUGAUCAAGAAUUACCAAGAAUCACUAGUAUCAAGUAAUAACCUAUCGUAUCAUUCCCUAAACGAACUCACAAGGAUAGGAUAAAAAAUAUAAUAAAUUGUCACCCAACCAAUAAUUAAUCUCAUUGUUAUAGUAAUUUACCCAUUGUCCCUAUAGGUUUCCUAGCCCUUAGGUUUUCAUGCUUCAAGCCCCAAGUUGGCUCUUAGCCUCUCAUGGGGGUGAUGUCACAUUCACAAUCCAUAGUAGGGUAGAAAUCCAUAAUUUGAAUCAAAAUAAACUAAAAACAAUAUAUUCAAUAAAGAAGAAAAAGAAAACAAACCAAAGUUCUCGUCUUUUUCCUCCUUCAAUGUCAAAAACUCCAGAAAAAAAAUCCAAGAUCCAAGAUGCCUAAAACCUAGAAUUGAGAGAGUUUAUAUAAUAUCCUCACUUACCUAACAUGUGGCACACUCUCAUUGGCCACUUAUUACAAAAUAAUUUCCUAAAAAUGAUUAAAAAAAUAAUAAAAUUGUAAUUCCUAGUCAUGUGGGGUCCACCUAGGGCGGAUGGAGUGCUUUAGAUGCAAUUCCCGAGGUAGAGGAGGCGGAACAUCAAAGUGGCAGUGGGUGAAUUCGGAAUUGGUGUCAUUUCGAAGUGGAUUUCGAAUUCAUAAGUUGAAUUUCGAAAUCAUAAGUUGAAUUUCGAAAUCAUUUCGAAAUGACCCUCCAGCUUGGUGCAGUUGUCUUCAAAUGGCCAUAACUUCUUCAUUUCAGCUCCGAUUUGCAAACCGUUUGAAGUGUUGGACUCCUGACUUCCCGAGCUUCGAAAUGAUAUAUAGUAUGUAUAUAAUGGACUCCAGAAAGUGCUCCAAAUUUGUCCUCAAAGUCAAAGUAUAUAAUGCCAUCAGAUUUUUGAGUUCUAAAUUUCCAUGCAACUAAAUAUUGCUUCAUGCCUCAUUUCCCAUUCUUUCUUGCCUUCUUUCUUACUCCAUAAUGGUCAUUUAUCAUCCUCCAACCUCAUGAUAUCCUUGUUUUGCCUUUCCUUGCAUUCGAUGAAUCUUGACUCACUUAUUUCCUCAUUUAGCCCUUUCUUGAUCUUUCAAAAUCUAAAGUCAUUCAAUUUGCACAAUUUUCUUCCCUUGAACCUGAGAUAAAUCUCCAAAGUAUAGAUUAAACCCAUGGCUAGGGCCUUAGCAUUGAUUUAGGUCAAGUUGGGUGAUUUGAAUGUCCUUUGGUGCACAAAUCAUAUCGAAUAUGUGCCAUUAGAGCACAUAUUUUGGCUCCAAUCACAUAUCCCCUCCUGUCGAGUCUGCUUGCAUCAUCAUCUUAGUAUCCUCUGGCUUUAAGCCACUUGAACAAAUCAUUAUCCAUGUCAGUUUCAGUUUUUCGGGACCGCACCUAUAUCAAUCGGUCAUAUUUCGUGUUAGUUUGAGUUCAAGUCUUGGGGACCGCACCUAUAUCUAUCAGCCAUAUUCCUAUCAUUUCCAUGUCAGUUUAAGUUUUUCGGGACUACACCUAUAUCAAUCGGUCAUCAUCCUAUCAUUUUGAAUUUGUGUUUUCGGGACCGCACCUAUAUCGCUCGGUCAUUUUUCGUUUGAGUUUGUAUUUUCAAGGUCACACCCAUAUCGAUCGGUCAUUUUUCGUGUAAGUUUAAGUUUUCGGGACUGCACCUAUAUCGAUCGAUCAUCUUCCUGUCAUUUCCAUAUUAGUUUGAGUUUUUUAGGGUCGCACCUAUAUCGAUCGGUCAUUUUUCGUGUCAGUUUGAGUUCGAGUCUUGGGGGGUCGCACCUAUAUCGAUCGGCCAUCUUCCUGUCAUUUACAUGUCAGUUUGAAUUUUUCAGGGCCAUACCUAUAUCUAUCGGUCAUUUUUCGUGUCAGUUUGAGUUCAAGUCUUAGGGGUCACAUCUAUAUCGAUCGGUCAUCAUCUUGUUAGUUUGAGUUUGUGUUUUCAGGACUGCACCUAUAUCGAUCGGUCAUCAUCUUGUUAGUUUCAGCUUGUGUUUUCAGGACCUCACCUAUAUCGAUCAAUCAUCAUCUCGUCAGUUUGAGUUUGUGUUUUUCAGGACCGCACCUAUAUCGAUCGGUCAUCAUUUUGUCAAUUUAAGUUUGUGUUUUGAGGGUCGUACCCAUAUCGAUCGGCCAUAUUCUUAUCUGUUUGUGUUCAAUUAGAGUCAAGGCCGCACCCAUAUCGAUCGACCAUAUUUCUAUUAGUUUGUGUUCAGUUUGAGUCGGGACCACACCUAUAUCGAUCGGUCAUUCAUCAUUUUGUCAGUUUCAAUUUGAGUCAGGACCGCACCUAUAUCGAUCGGUCAUCUUUCGUGUUCAGUUUGAAUCAAGGUUGCACCUAUAUCGAUCGGCCAUUUUCAUAUCAGUUUGUGUUCAGCUUGAGUCGGGGCCGCACAUAUAUCGAUCAACCAUCUUCUUAUCAGUUUGUGUUUAGUUUGAGUCGGGACCGCACCCAUAUUGAUCGGUCAUUCACCUUGUCAAUUUAGUCUUGGGGGUCGCGCCUAUAUCGAUCAGCCAUCUUCCUGUCAUUUCUGUGUCAGUUUGAGUUUUUCGAGACCGCACCUAUAUCGAUCGAUCAUUUUUCGUGUUAGUUUGAGUUUUCGGGACCACACCUAUAUUGAUCGACCAUCUUCUUGUCAAUUUGUGUUUAGUUUGAGUCGGGACCGCACCCAUAUCGAUCAGUCAUUCAUUCUUCCUAUCAGUUCAGUUCAACGUCCAAGGUCUUUAUUCAGUACGAUAUUUAGAGCCACAUCUUCAGUUUUAGCGUUCAGAGCCAUUGUGCAUACUCAUCCAGGCAUUUUGGAUCACCAUUGUUCCUUUAUUCUAGGCGUUCAGAGUCAUUCUCUUCACUUGGUCACCUGGUGCUCAUUGUUUGUUCAUCAUGCUCUUUUAGACUACCCCUUCCACUACACAUGGCACAGUCCUUUGAGUUCACGACACAUAUUUCAGCCAUGUUGUUAAACACCCUACGCCUAGCAUUCUCAUGUAGUUCACAUAGGGAGUCUCCUUUGGAUGUGUUCUUUCUUGUACUUUAGGGUGGUUCGACUGUUACUCAUCUUUGACAUUGAUCUUCGAGUCACUUUUGGAGACGUCUUAGAGGGAGAUUGUGUCCUUAGUGUGGCUUUAAAGGCGCUUUGAGAUAUCCACUUUUCUCUUAGGAUUACAACUUUUUUUUUUCAUCUAUUGGCUUGAGUGAGUUUUUGUUUCACUAGUGUCCUUUCGGGGGUCUCAUUUGUUCUUCGGUAGAGUUUGCUUCAUUCCACUCACUAUUCACACUUUCUUUUCACUUUAGUGUUCAUAUUCCUUACAUUCGUGAAUUCUACCGAAUAGGGACAUAUUUGUAGACCCCCAUUUCUUUUGACUCUCAGUUUUUUCCUGCCAUCUUUGAGGAACAGUUAAGGGGGACGGCUUGGAGGUAGAGCUGCAAGGGACACGUGGCUGUGGAGGUGACCAUUGCCAUGGUGGUGGUUGGGGCUCUAGAAAAUGUUGAGCAGUGAACAAGAGAGUGGUUAGGGGCUUCCAGGUGAAGACUAGAGAGCUCUAGAGGAAGGGGGAUUUUUUUUUCUCGGGUAGCCUAAGGGAAGCUGAAAACAAAAGCUUGAGAGAUGAUAGAAAAGGAAGAGGUCUUCAUUUUUUUUGGAAGGAGACAGUUGGGUAAAAAAGAAGGAGUGGCUCGCCAAGUAUGUUUGAUGUUUCCGUUGACUUCUAUGCUGCUCAUAUGCUUACCAUUACUAUUUUUUUUUAUUGGAUUUUAUUAUCCAUGCCAGUUUCGGAUUGAGGUUAUUGAGGCUUAGUUCUGGCUUGCUCUGUUUCAUAUUGAUUGUUUUUCAUUUGAAUCUGUUGGUGUUCGAUUUUUUAUUUAUUUAUUUAUUUUAUUUCUUUCCAUUUUCGUAUGUUUGUUCUAUGUUCUUUUUCUCCUCCAAACUCACCUCUCAUCUUCAUCAUACCCAUUACCAAUCUCCUCCUCUGAACCCACACCGAACUCAGUCUUACUCGCCGUGAAGAUGAUGUUUAAACAGAUUGUUUCUCAUGCAAAAUCUGGGGUGAAACUUAAAGCUUUUGAGGGAAAAUUUUUGGUGCGGCGUCGAAGAUCGGUAAGUUGACGCUCAAGACGAAGAAAAUGCUAGCUUUGAUUUUGGUUUGAAUCCCAAUUGAGGAGCUGCCACAGACCAUUCAUUUGGACUGUAAAUCCUAGUGGUCCGUCGUCGCCGAACCCCACUGCUAGUUGGAUACCGAUGUAAAAAAUUGGUGUUGCCAUUGGAAAUGCUUCGACUGAGUGGAUACCAAUUCACGUUUUCAAAUACUGAUUUUUAAAACUUAGGUUUUUAAAUCUAAUUUCCAAAAUCUCAAUUCUCAACUAAUUUUUCAAAAAUUCCAAAAUGUUUUCAAAUAAUUUUUAAAACUCCAAUUUCUUUCAAAAAUUAAUUUUUAAAAUUCCAUUUCUUAAAUUUAAUUUUUAAAAUUCCAAACUCUUAAAUAACUUUUAAAAUUCCAUUUUCUUUCAAAUUUAAUUUCCAAUUUUUAAAUUUAAUUUUCAAAACUCUCAUUUUCGAUUUUUUUUAAAAUUCCUAUCUUUUUAAAUUUAAUUUUUAAGACUCCAACUUUCAAAUUUUUUUUUAAUUCCAUUUUUAAAUGUAAUUUUUAAUGAUUUCAAUUUUCAAAACUCCAAUUUUCUUUCAAAUAGUUUUAAUUCUGCUCCAUUUUUCAAUUUUUUUUAAUUUACAAAUUUUCUUUGAUUUUCAAUUUUUAUUUUAUUUAUUUAUUUUUUUAAAAUCAUAAAUGAUUUUUUCAUAAUUCCAAACUAAUGGAAUUUGUGAGAUUAAUUCAUGCAAAAUCAAUCGGGCUUUGGUGGGGGCCCUAAAUAUUAAAAUUUCUCUUCUGAUUGUUAAUUGAUAUGCCUAAUGAAUAUUGUUUGAUUUUUGUUCUGAUCUUUGACACGUAUGUGAUAAUUUUACACUUGAGCUGACAUCGUUUGCAUGAUUGUGCACUAUUAUUUGUUGCAAAGGUAUGAUCUCUCCUAUACUUUGUUUAUUCCACUCUAUGACAUGCACGCGAUUAUUCUGUGUUUAAUUGCUAACAUUUGUUUUCAUUGAAGUAAACCGGUCCAUCAUUCAGGUACAUUCUUUGCCUCUCUUAUUCAUUCAAUUAUUUUGUUUUGAGUGAUAUUCAUUUGGUAUCCAUGCUCGAUUAAUCAAUUGUCAUAAUUGCUGCAUUUUAUUAGUAGAGACCCGUUUUAAAGACUUAGAGGGAUCGUACCUUCCUGAUAAGUAACCUGACCCCCGAACCCGAUCCGGUUUUUCGCAAACCACCUUUUCCAAAUAAAGAGUCACACUUAGGGUUUUUUUCAUUAUUUUUUUUACCCUUUAAAAAUAAAACAAAAAUCGAGCUCGCCAUCAAGUGGAAGUGCAUGAGUCGAAAUACAGGGUCCACAGUUGUCUACACAAUUCAUUUAUAAAUAUUACUUUCGCUAGUUAAAUAAUUUUCCCUACCGGUGAUCAUAACAUUUUUAUGACAUUGAUUGACAAUUGCCUUUUAAAUAUGGAAAUUGUUUUUUUGGUAAAGACAAUGUCCCCUCCAAAUAACUUUCAACUAUAUUUGUUUAAAGUGUUGUAAAUUUUAAAAUAUUUUUUAAAUUAUAAUAUUUUUAAAAAAUUUAAAUUACUACAUUUUUCUCAAAAUCUCCCGCCAAGAAAUGGAGUACUUGUCAGCUUUCACAAACUCAAAAUCUUUUUGAAUUCAGAAAAAGGCGGAAAGAAAGUGGAAAUAAUUGAAGAGUGCAUACCGGACAUUAAUAAUGGAGAAUGGCUGAGUGGGCCUGUACCUCAGCACUGCUGUUGGUUUUCAAUUAUUGAAACGGACAAGAGAUAAAUGCAUGAAAAAUAAUUGUCCUCCAAGAACUAACUUCUUAAAAUGAUGAACUUUGAAGAAUUUCUUUUGCUUUAAUGGCCAAAAAAUGUUCUUGGAUGAAAUCUUACUUUAUAUAUAUCUACUCAGAUAAUUGUAAUAAAAGUAUCUAUCUUGAAAAAGGAAAAAAAAAAAAAAAAAAUCUUGCAAGUUUGAGUAAUAUUUUUAAAAUUAGGUUAAAUUGUUAGUUGCAUGUGGGAUUUGAUUCACAUUUUUCAUCAUUGGACUGGUUUUUUAUAUUCAAGUGGAUUGAUUUGACCCUACUCAAUAAAAUGAGAAUUAGAUGAAGUUUUUGGAAGUUUUAAAAUUAUUGCCAUAUAAUAAUAAUAAUAAUAAUAAUAAUAAUAGUAAUAAAAUCUUUUCUCCAUGAAAAAAACUAAAAGAACAUGUUUUUUUUUAAAAAAAAGUUACUUUCUUUGAAUUUAUUUUAUUUAUUUUGAUGAAAAACAAAAAUUAAUAUAUUUGUAUUAUAAAAAAAAAAUAAUUAUUGUAGUUUCAUUUAUGACUUGGAUAAAGAAUUCGUUAAUAAAAUAAUCGAUUUAGAUUUUGAACAUUUCAUAAGAUAAUUGAAGAUAGAUNNNNNNNNNNNNNNNNNNNNNNNNNNNNNNNNNNNNNNNNNNNNNNNNNNNNNNNNNNNNNNNNNNNNNNNNNNNNNNNNNNNNNNNNNNNNNNNNNNNNNNNNNNNNNNNNNNNNNNNNNNNNNNNNNNNNNNNNNNNNNNNNNNNNNNNNNNNNNNNNNNNNNNNNNNNNNNNNNNNNNNUUUUUUUUUUUUUUUUUUUCUUUUCCAAAACGCGUAACAUUUCAACUUUCUUUAUUAAAUAUCCUUUAAGGGUCACUCGCUUUUUAACUUUUUCUAAAGUGUUUUAUUUUCUAACGUGUAAAGGAGGUUUGUGUGGGGCUCAUCUUUUAAAAUAUUUCAAGCUUUAUUUGCUUGUUUUCUUUUUGUAUUUAUUUUGUUUUGUUUUGUUUUUUUUCUUUUUUGAGGUGGUUACCAUGUAUCGAAGUCGCUUUCAAAUUUUCAAUUACGUACCAUACUAUUCACAAGAAUAUACAAUUAUUAUUUCCAAUUUAGAAUUUUUAUAUCAAAAUCAAGUAAUAGCAUUACAAAAUGAAUAAAAUAUAAAUAAAAAUGAUAAAAUCUAAAAUUAAUGAAAUAUCAAUAAAAUAAAUAAUAAAACUAUAUUUCAUUCUUUAAUAUACAAACUAUCUUAAUAAAAAUUAAACACUAUAAUGUAUCUAAUAAAAUAAUUUUUUUUUAAUGUAUUUAUAUUUUAUAAUGUGAUAGUAUUAAAAAUAAAAAAAUUGAAGUUUUUUAAUCAUUUAUUUAUGUAUAAUUUUAAUAUGAAUCAUACAUUUAUGAUAUCAUCUUGCAUCAUGAUUUAAUCAUCAUUUCCUGAUCCGAUUUCUCUUCAACUUUGUUUGAUCAUUCCAAAUGUAAACAUUGAGCUUGCGACUGUUUAUGGUAAGCCCUUUAUUUAAUUUAUUUUGGAUAAGAAGAUAAACAAGCUUUAUUUCAAUACUUUUGUCUACUUUUGGCCAAUCGUGCAGAAAGUCAGCACUUCAUGUGGCCUACUGACAUCUUAUCGGAUCUGGAACGAACCCUACUGGGACCAUUGAAAUCCAACUUUUAAUAUCUCUGUCUGUACGAUUUCUUAGCAACAGAUCAGAUACAGUUUUAUAAUAAAAUAUGGUUUUAGGGCAUGUGAAGCUUUGUGAAACACGAGGUGCAGCUGGCAGUAUGGAAAGUUUCAUCGUUAUGGAUUGGAUUCUCCUGUCAAAUACACAGUUCUAACUCGAGCAAUUUAAUCAUAGAGGACUGCAUUUAUAUACUUUGAAAACUCUUUACGAGAUAAAUCAAUCUUAUGUACAUAACUACUAUGGAUUAACCUAUGCUUCACUCUUGAAAAUUUUGAAAGAAAAGAUGAGAAAAAGAAAAUAAAAAAAAAAAAGAAAAUAAAAAAUUGAAGUUAAUAUAUUAUUUUACAUGUUUUUGUUAAAUUAUUUUACCAAUUUUUUUCUUUUAUAUAUAAAGAAUAAGUAGUUUGAAAAUGUUUAAAGUUUUUUCAGCAAUGUUUUCAAAAAUAUUUAUGAAAAAACAAUUUUUUAAAAUUGUUCUUAAAACGGGUUUCAAUUGUUUUUAGCCAAAAAAUUUUGUUUGAAAACUUAUGUACAAUGUAAAAGUUUUUGAAGUAUUGUUUACAUCAUUUAUAAUUGUUGCUCAAUAUGUUUAUCAAAAAACAAUUGCAAACAUUUCAAAUCUUGAUUUUUCUUAUGACAUGAUAAAUAAUGUUUUCUAGGUAUAUAAUAAACACCUCGAAAUAAUGUUUUUAGCUUAUAGCCAUGAAAAAAAGGAAAUUUAUGGUUUGUUGAGUCAUUCAAAGAAUCAUGUCAAUGGGAAAUUGUGUUCAUUGGGAGUUAUAAAUUGAAGUUAUAGAAGACACUUCAUGAAAUGAGAAAGACUCAAGGCUUUCUUCUUAUUAAUACUAAGUUAAGCAAGUCUCAUAUUACAACGUAGACAUUGUUUUCAUGGUGAAGAUCUUGAAGAUCCUCACACUAAUACUAAUUAAAGAUACCAAACUCUAGACAAUGGCAAAAACCACCUAGUAGCUGGGAUUAUAUUUUUUAUUUUUAGAGGAAUUUCUUGAACCAAUAAGUAGAAUGCUUUGGGUAUCGCUUUAAACCAUUUUUAUAAUCCACAUAACCAAGGCCAAAGCGAAAGGUGAAACCAGCAUCCCAUUCAAAGUCGUCAAGAAAAGACCAUGCAAAGUAUCCUUUCACAUUGACGCCCUCCCUGCCAAAAUUGCAUAUAUACAUGCACCAUAUUAGUAAUAAUAUUUUAGUACUUCGAAAAAAUCUCAAAAUUAAGAUGACCUAAUAUAUGUAUUACUGCAAGCUAGGCCUCAAUUUUGUAAAUUCCAACCUCGAUGAAGGCAAGAUUUGAUUUCAAGUAUCUAGUACAAUACCCUACAAACUUCAAGAUUAGACCUAAUGCAAUGUAAUAUCUUAAUUAAAUAUUUCAUAUUCUUAUUAUUAGAUUAUUAAUUUGACUUAAAAGCUUAACUUAUCACAUGUGAGCUUAAAUGAGAUAAACUUUAUAUAUUAUGCCAACAUACUUAGGUUAAAACCCUAACACUCACAUAACCCAUGGAUGUUGCUUAUGUGAGCUAAAUUUAAUUACUCACUUGAUAGCUUUUGAGAGAUAGUACAAAUGUCCACGGUGGUAUGUUAUCCUCAAGGUAUCAUUGAGAUCUUCCUUCACAGGCACUGAACCAUUAUUUGCAGUAGCCAAUCCUGCACAAGACCAUAUAACGCAUUAGUUUGAAUCAUAUUAAAAUGAAAUCAAAAUAUUGUUCCAUGACUUAAAAACAAUAUAAGUUGAUAAUCGAUUCAUUAAGCCUACCAUUCUCUGUGAUGUAAAUAGUUGGAUUGUUGUAAUGUUCCUUGAUGUAAAGCAUAUGUUUUUUGAUUCCCCAUGGACAAAUGUAAAGCCAAUUCAACGGGGUCUACAAAAUCACACACCAUAGAUCACUUAGUAAUGAAUUCAUGAAUUCAUAUAGGUUAUGUCUGGUUCCUAAAACAUAUUAAAAAAUAAAAUAAAAUACUAAAAAAAAGUCAAUUUUUUUCAUGUUUAAUUAUACUCUGGAAAAUAUCAAAGAAAUUAAAUAUAAUUAAAAUUAAUUAGAAAACUUAUAUAUUUUAAUUUUUUUAAUUUUUAUAUUGAAAAGUCAAAAUAAGUAAAAUAAACUUCAAGUAAUAUAUAAAAAUAAUUUAUUGGUUUAAUUUUUUUUUUUCAUUCUAUUUUUUCUCUUUCUUUUUUUUAUAUAUUAUUUUUUUUUUUUUGCAUAUUCCCUCAAUUUUUUUGAGGAACCAAACAUAACCUUGUAUAUCUAAGGACAGAGACAUUGCCGGUUGGCCAAUGUUAACCCCAUCUUUCUCCGCUAUAGCCAUAGAAAAAAUAAAAAGGGUUUAGUCACCUAAAGGCAAAGCAUGAAGGAGAACACGAAUCAUAGUUGAGCUCAUAAGAUUGAGUUUUUCAAGCUUACUGGUUAGGUUGAGUCGGCCAUCUAGUGCCCAGCUUAGCUCCAAGGUGUUUACUGCUGAUGCAUAGGUAGUAGCGUAAUUCGAAGUGUAGUAAUUAAUUCCUAAGAAAUCCAAUGAUCCCUUGAGCAUUUCGGAUUCUGCUGGCGAGAAUUUGGGGAGUCGAUGCCCCACAAGAGAUUGCAUGGUCAUUGGGUACUCGCCAUAUGUGAUUGGAUGUAAAAACCUAAAAAAAAGAAUGAAAAAAUUCAUAUAAAAGUUAAUCAAUGAGUUGCCUACACAGUUCAUUCAUAAACAUUACUUUCGCUAGUUAAACAAUUUACCCUACCAAUGGUCAUAAUAUUAAUUUAUUGAUUCAUAGCAUAUAUUGUUAUUUUCCAAUUGUGCCAAUAUCAAUAAUGGGUUUUCAUUGUUACUAAAGAUCUAUCAAAAUGUGAAUGUCAUUUGGCAAAUCAUUGUAACACUUAAAGAUUCCAUGCAUGCAAUACUCUUAGUUUUUCUUAAUGCAUUCAAAAUCUAGUUAUUGUUACAAUCAAAAAAUGAUUACGUCAAUAUGAAUAGAAAAAAAUGAGGCAAUUAUCUAAAAAGGUCUCAACUACAUUUCUUGAUUUUUGAAUUAAUAUGAUCUUGAAGAUUACAAGUUGUAUAUAAAUUGGCACAUAUUCGAUAGUUAAAAAAAUAUACACUUUGAUGCCGAAGAACCCUAAUAUUUAACUAGGAUAGAUAGCAUUGAUGACAAAAAAUGUUGUCAUGUAAAUGUUUUAAAUGCUUUCACAUGGUUAUGGGUUUUCAAAAUAACCAUUUUUUUAUGACAUUGAUUGACAAUUGUCUUUUAAAUAUGGAAGAAGUUUUUUUCGUAAAGACAACUUCAAGAUUUAAUUGAAGUUGUCCCCUCCAAAUAACUUUCAACUAUAUUUGUUUAAAGUGUUGUAAAUUUAAAAAUAUUUUUUAAAUUAUAAUAUUUUAAAAGAAAAUUAAAUUACUAUAUUUUUCUCAAAAUCUCCCGCCAAGAAAUAGAGUACUUAACAGUUUUCACAUGCUCAAAAUCUUUUUGAAUUCAGAAAAAGGCCAAAAGAAAGUGGAAAUAAUUGAAGUGGAUUGAUUUGACCGUACUCAAUAAAGUGAGAAAUAGAUAAGUAGUUUUUGAAAGUUUUAAAAUUACUUAAAAUUAUUACCAUAUAAUAAUAACAAUAAUAAUAAAAUCUUUUCUCCAUGGAAAAAACUAAAAGAACAUAUUUUUUUUUAAAAGUUAUCUUUUUUGAAUUUUAGUUAUUUAUUUUGAUGAAAAACAAAAGUUAAUGCAUUUAUAUUAUAAAAAUAAAAUAUUUAUUAUUUUAUGUAGUUUCAUUUAUGACUUGGAUAAAAACCUUGUCAAUAAAAUAAUCGAUCUAGAUUUCGAACAUUUCAUAAAAUAAUUUGAAGAUAGAUAGAAUCGAUGGGCUGGAUUGACCAUUCUCUUUUUUUUUGUUCUUUUCUUCUUUUUUUAUUUUUUAUUUUCCCAAAACGUGUAACAUUGUCUUUCAAAAGGGUCACUAGCUUUUUUACUUUUUCUAAAGUGUUUUAUUUUCUAAUGUUUAAAGGAGGUUUGUGUGGGGCCCAUUUUUUUUAAAUAUUUCAAGCUUUAUUGCUUGUUUUUUUGUUUUGUUUCUUUGUUUUUUGGUUUUUUUUUUUUUUUUUUUUUUUUUUUGAGGUGGUUACCAUGGAGGAAAAUAUCGGGAUAUAUCGGCGAUAUAUCGCCGAUAUAUCUUGUAUCGGGAGGAGGCGACACGAUAUUUCAUGGAGAAAAAUCGGAGAGGAGAUAUUUCCGUAAAUAUCGCCAAAAUAUCGGCGAUAUAUCGGCGAUAUAUCGGUUCGGGGAGAUAUAUCGGAGAUUUUUUCAAAAAAUCUCCUCUGGUGGCAAAAAAUCGGAGAUAUAUCGAUGAUAUAUCGGAGAUAUAUCGGUGAUAUAUCGGUGAUAUAUCGGAGAUAUAUCGGUGAUUUUUUGGUGAUAUUUCCCCUCCUUUAUGCAACGUGAUCUGACGGCCCAGAUCACGCCCGUGUUGAUCCGACGGUCUAGAUGUGAUUCCAAUGGUAAUAUGGCGAUCCAACGGCCCGAUUGCUCCUAGUUUUUUAUCCAAUGGCUAAAAUUGAUUUUCAACAGUAAAUUAAUGUUCCAACGGCUAUUUUGGCCCAAAUUUCUUCUAUAAAUAACCCAAAUUUCAUCUAUUUCAUCCAUUUUUGCUUUCAUUCUUCAUUUGCUCUCUCAUUACUCCAAUUUUUAUUAAGGUUGCUCAAUUAUUUAAUUAUUUUAAGGUAUAUUUGUUUUAAAUUAUAAUUAAUUUUGUUUGCAAUUGUAAUUAAUUCAUGUAUUUUCAAUUAAUUAGUAUGUUUGCAAUAUGGAUGAUUUAAUGCUAUUUUUACAUUCAAUUGUAAUUAAUUUUUAUAUUUUUACUGAAUUAACUUAGGUUGAUUUGAUUAUUUAAUUAUAAAUUGAUAUGUUUAUUUUAGAUGAUUAUUUGUGAUUUAUUUUCACAUUUAAAAUUAAAUUAAACUAGUUAACUUAGCUAAAUUAUUUAAUUAAUUUAAUUAACAUGCUAAAUUAUUUAAUUAAUUUAAUUAACAUGAAAUAAUAUAUUUUGAAUAUGAAAUAUGUUUAUUUAAUGAAUUUAAUGUGUACAAAUUAUUGAUAUUUAAUGAAAUGAAAUAUUUUAUGUGACUUUAUAAUGAGAACAAUUACAAAAUUAACAUUUCUUAUAAAUCGACAUGAUGUAAUUACAUCUAAUAUCGCAAAUUAUAUCAUAUAUAUAUCAAAUUUUUCAAUAAAACAACAUUAAAAUGUCAAUUAUACUUCUAAUUAUAUUAUUAUGAGGUUUUUCUUGCAUUUUCAUGAGUUUUUAACAAUUUUAAGUCUACCAAUAUUUUUUUCCAGAAUAUCCGCCGAUAUAUCUCCGAUAUAUCCGAUAUAUCCGUAAAAUCGAAGUACCGAUAUAUCCGUGAUUACCGAUAUUUUCUUCCAUGGUGGUUACCAUGUAGUGAAGUCGCUUUCCAAUUUUCAAUUACAUACAAUAAGAUUCACAAGAAUACACAAUUAUUAUUUCCAAUUUAGAAUUUUUAUAUCAAAAUCAAGUAAUAGCAUUACAAAAUGAAUAAAAUAUAAAUAGAAAUGAUAAAAUCUAAAAUUAAUGAAAUAUCAAUAAAAUAAAUAAUAAAACUAUAUUUCACUCUUUAAUAUACAAACUAUCUUAAUAAAAAUAAAACACUGUAAUUUUGUAUUUAAUAAAAUAAAUUUUUUUAAUGUAUUUAUAUUUUAUAAUAUGAUAGUAUUAAAAAUAAAAAAUUUUAAGUUUUUAAAUCAUUUAUUUAUGUAUAAUUUUAAUAUGAAUCAUACAUUUAUGAUAUCAUCUUGCAUCAUGAUUCAAUCAUCAUUUUGUGAUCCGAUUAUUUAAUUUAUUUUGGAUAAGAAGAUAAACAAGCUUGAUUUCAAAACUUUUGGCUACUUUUGGCCAAUCAUGCAGAAAGCCAGCACUUCAUGUGGCCUACUGACAUCUUAUCGGAUCUGGAAUGAAUCCUACUGGGACCAUUGAAAUCCCAAGUUUUAAUAUCUCUGUUACGAUUUCUUAUAGCAACAGAUCAGCUACAGUUUUAUAAUAAAAUAUGGUUUUAGGGCAUGUGUGAAGCUUUGUGAAACACGAGGUGCGGCUGGCAGUAUGGAAAGUUUCAUCUUGAUGGAUUGGAUUCUCCUGUCAAAUACACAGUUCUACUCAAGCAAUUUAAUCAUAGAGGACUGCAUUUAUAUACUUUGAAAACUCUUUACGAGAUAAAUCAAUUUUAUGUACAUAACUACUAUGGAUUAACCUAUGCUUCAUUCUUGAAAAUUUUGAAAGAAAAUAAAUAAAUAAAUAAAAAGAAGAAAAAAAAAAUUGAAGUUAGUAGAUUAUUUUACAUGUUUUUUUUUAAUUAUUUUACCUAUUUUUUUCUUUUAUAUAUAAAGAAUAAGAAAUUUGAAAAUGUUUAAGGAUCUUUUCAGCAAUGUUUUCAAAAAGAUUUAUCAAAAAACAAAUUUUUAAAAUUGUUCUUAAAAUGGGUUUCAAUUGAUUUUAUGCAAAAAAAAAUUUGUUUGAAAACUUAUGUACAAUUUAAAAGUUUCUGAAGUAUUGUUUACGUCAUUUUCAAUUGUUGCUCAAUAUGUUUAUCGAAAAACAAUUGCAAACAUUUCAAAUCUUGUUUCUUCUUAUGACAUGAUAAAUAAUGUUUUCUAGGUACAUAAUAAACACCUCGAAAUAAUGUUUUUAGCUUAUAGCCAUGAAAAAAUGGAGAUUUAUGGUUGGUUGAGUCAUUCAAAGAAUCAUGUCAAUGGGAAAUUGUGUUCAUUGAGAGCUAUAAAUUGAAGUUAUAGAAGACACUUCAUGAAAUGAGAAAGACUCGAGGCUUUCUUCUUAUUAAUACUAAGUUAAGCAAGUCUCAUAUUACAACACAUAGGCAUUGUUUUCAUGGUGAAGAUCUUGAAGAUCCUCUUUUAGCACACUAAUACUAAUUAACGAUACCAAACUCUAGACGAUGGCAAAAACCACCUAGUAGCUGGGAUUACAUGUUUUAUUUUUGGAGGAACUUCUUGAACCAAUAAGCAGAAUGCUUUGGGUAUCGCUUUAAACCAUUUUUAUAAUCCACAUAACUGAGGCCAAAGCGAAAGGUGAAACCAGCAUCCCAUUCAAAGUCGUCAAGAAAAGACCAUGCAAAGUAUCCUUUCACAUUGACGCCCUCCCUGCCAAAAUUGCAUACAUACAUACACUAUAUUAGUAAUAAUAUUCUAGUACUUCGGAAAAAUCUCAAAAUUAGGAUGACCUAAUAUAUGUAUUACUGCAAGCUAGGCCUCAAUGUUAUAAAUUCCAACCUCAAUGAAGGCAAGAUUUGAUUUCAAGAAUAUAGUACAAUACCCUAAAAACUUCAAAACUAGACUUAGUGCAAUGUAAUAUCUUAGUUAAAUAUUUCAUAUUCUUAUUAUUAGAUUAUUAAUUUGACUUAAAAGCUUAACUUAUCACAUGUGAGCAUAAAUGAGAUAAACUUUAUAUAUUAUGCCAACGUGCUUAGGCUAAAACCCUAACACUCACAUAACCCAUGGAUGUUGCAUAUGUGAGCUAAAUGUAAUUACUCACUUGAUAGCUUUUGAGAGAUAGUACAAAUGUCCACGGUGGUAUGUUAUCCUCAAGGUAUCAUUAAGAUCUUCCUUCACAGGCACUGAAGCAUUAUUUGCAGUAGCCAAGCCUGCACAAGACCAUAUAACGGAUUAGUUUGAAUCAUAUUAAAAUGAAAUCAAAAUAUUGUUCCAUGACUUAAAAACAAUAUAAGUUGAUAAUCAAUUCAUUAAGCCUACCAUUCAUUCAUUAAGCCUACCAUUCUCUGUAAUGUAAAUAGUUGGAUUGUUGUAAUGUUCCUUGAUGUAAAGCAUAAGUUUUCUGAUUCCCCAUGGACAAAUGUAAAGCCAAUUCAACGGGGUCUACAAAAUCACACACCAUAGAUCACUUAGUAAUGAAUUCAUGAAUUCAUAUAGGUUAUGUCUCAUUCCCAAAACAUAUUAAAAAAAAAAUACUAAAAAAAUGUCAUUUUUUUUUUUCAUGUCUAAUUAUCCUUUGAAAAUAUCAAAGAAAUUAAAUAUAAUUAAAAUUAAUUAGAAAACUUAUAUUUUUUUAUUUUUAAAAUUUUUAUAUUGAAAAGUCAAAAUAAGUAAAAGGAACUUCAAGUAAUAUAUAAAAAUAAUUUAUUGGUUUUAUUUUUUAUUUUUUAUUUUUUUCCUUCUAUUUUUCCUCUAUUUUUUUUUAUAUUUUAUUUUUUUUGCGUCUUCCCUCAAAUUUUUUGAGGAACCAAACAUAACCUCAAAUGUCUAAGGACAGAGAUACUACCGGUUGGCCAAUGUUAACCCCAUCUUUCUCCGCUGUAGCCAUAGAAAAAAUAAAAAGGGUUUAGUCACCUAUAGGCAAAGCAUGAAGGAGAACAAGAAUCAUAGUUGAGCUCAUAGAUUGAGUUUUUCAAGCUUACUGGUUAGGUUGAGUCGGCCAUCUACUGCCCAGCUUUGCUCCAAGGUGUUUACUGCUGAUGCAUAGGUAGUGGCAUAAUUUGAAGUAUAGUAAUUAAUUCCUAAGAAAUCCAGUGAUCCCUUAAGCAUUUCGGAUUCUGCUGGCGAGAAUUUGGGGAGUCGAUGCCCCACAAGAGAUUGCAUGGUCAUUGGGUACUCGCCAUAUGUGAUUGGAU